rnacentral:lncRNA from 1 species
GAUCUGUUUUCUGCGCGAAAACGAAUCCGACCCGAGUUCAUCUUUUUUAUGGACGGGAUUUCGGACAUCCCUUUUGAAGGAAGUUUUGUAUGGGGUAUUGUGUUUUGUUCCCGAACACAUCCCACUAACUUUAAGAUCUUUUGAACAUGAUCUUCAACAUCAUACUGGUGUCAAAUCAGUCCGGCAAUAUUACUCCACGGCUGCCGACCUGCGCUAAACACGGCGUCACUUGGUUGAGCCGAGCUCAACUUCUUCGGAUCAUCAUCUCGGCAAGCCGAACAAGAGUCCAGCAUCGCGAAGGAUAAAUCAUCACCAACAUCGCCGCCCCACGGAUUACACAGAGCGGGCAUACCGGCAUCGCCGCACGGUCGCUUCAUCAAGCCGACAUCGACCACGUCAUGACAUGCAUCGGCAGGGCCGCACUAUUGCUUCUUCAAGCUAAUGUCCAUCAUGCCGACCUACUUCGACUCAUCGGCUGACAUCGAGGCUUCGACAUCUCAGCUAGACCGGGGUCUUCGCCAUCUCUUCAUCAACCUACUCCGAACACUUCGGCGUCACUAGCCGACCAGCUCCGUCACGUUAGCUGGACCGAGGGCUUUGCCUCGGCGAGCCAACCUUUACCAACAUUUUUAUGCCGUCGUUUUAUCGCCCAUCAGGAAAUGGGUGUGCGGAUCGAGUCCCAAUUUUGGGAAUCACCUUCCUUCGGAUUGCUACAACAAAUAAACCAGGUGUUAUCAAUCCCAGUACUUUUUGCUUGUUUGGGUUCAUUUUUCCCAAGGAAUUACUACUCUGGUCUGUCCAUCAUAUGUACACAGGUCUAUCAAAUAAUGGCCGCAUUAACGACGGUCGCGUGGUGGUUCGGUCAGUCUUCGUACAUAGUUCGGCAAAUGCCGCAUCCGGAACUCGAACCGACUUGUGAAUUCAGGCUUUGUCACGCCUUUACCGCAUCACGCCGACGCCCUGCAUCGACUUUGACUUUGGCGCCAGACCAUAUUUCUUUUAUUACUCACUUUGCAUAAAUUAUUUAUUAUGCAACGAUUUUUUUAAUUAUCAUUAUUACUAUUAUAUCCCGUUUGCACUAUUUUUUGUGCACAGGAAAAUGAUCCGAGGACUUCGGCGUCACUCUGCCGGUCUGCAUUGACCGUGCUAUGUCACCACUUCGGCGUGUCGAGCUCUCCGCUCCGCCACGUCGGGACCAGCUUGGGGGAUGGAACCUUGCCCCGCAUCAAGCUCGGACCGCGUCAUCAAUACCGAACACAUUAACCAGCUAAGUCGCUCUCAUGCUCAAAGCUUUAAUGUCUAACUUGUGUUCGAUUCGACCAAGCAUUAUACUUUUUUGGAAAAAAGUUACUUGUAAAAAAAUUUCUUUUCCAAACUUUGUUUGUGAUGCAUAAAUUCAAAUACCCAAUUCAUUUGGGGGCUUCCUUCAUGAAGCUUUUCCUGUUGCAUAUGAUUAUACUUGUACGGCUUCGUUCCUUAUUCGUGUAUUACGCCACAAUAUGCACCAUAUUGACUUAAGCGAUUUGCAAGCUGGGUUGCCUCGCUCCUGUGUUUACCCCUACGUUCUCGAUUGUUCGGCUAGGGAGUAAAGGGAGCACCUCUGCGAUUGUCACGAUCGGGUCGCCCGAGCCGAACCUCAGACUGGGUGAAGUCGAAAGCUAGCGCUCUUAUAGUUUUCAAUGAUGGUCGGCACACAACGGAACUCAUGAGUACAAAAAAUCUAUUGCACAAGUCUCAUAAUAACAAUGAGCACCGAAGAAAGGUAUCGGUGGGGGUACUAUUUUCUUCGAAGAUGCUUCUUACACAUCGCAGUAAUAUAGCAUAAGUUCCCUGAGCGCGCUUUGUCUGUUACAGCCUUAUGGCCUGAUUGCCUGGUUAUUGGAAACACCGUUGAUAUUCUCGACCGAUGGAGUACAUAACACUUUUCGGUCCUUGACCGAAGAGGGAGAAGCCGACGGUCGGUUAAGACGCGUUUAAAGUUUGGUUGAACAUAGAUAUGAUAUAAGUACUUCGAUACAUGCAAUCAUUCUUCUACCCAAGUCACUUGGGGGCUCUUAAGUUUAUUUGAGCCAUUUUAUAAUAAGUGUUCUUCUUAUUAGUCGUUGCAAAGUUUUAUUAUUAUUAUUUAUCACUCCUUUUUCGACACAAGUGUGCGGUCACUAGCCGGGGAGCCUAAUUUCUCUCUCAAAGCCGCUAGAGUUUAGUUUGCUAAACUGGCCUGAUGAGAAGUACUCCGCCCUCGGGAUAGGAGGUUGAAGUCGUAGGCUGACCCGCUCGAAGUCUUGAGAUAGGAUGUAUCAUGUUAAAGCACGACAGAAGCACUUCAUUUUUCUAAGACCAAUUUUCAUAUUGGCACCGAACACUUGAUCUUGUUCGGACGUCAUGUUUUUAGUGACGUUUCUUGGUUUUCCAAGCUUUUGGCACUUUUAAACUAUUUGUGCUUUUCCAGCAUUAGUCUCGCAGUGCAACGCCGGACACCUUUAGGGAUUCGGCAAAAACAUUCUCUAUUGCUAUAUAUGCAUCGGUUUCGAAUUGUGUCUUCGGUCAAUAGUUGGGUUGCCCGACUCCUGGCUUUCCUCCUACGUUCCGCUUUGUUCGGCUAGGUGUGCAAAGGGAGAACCACUGCGAUUGUGCUUCCAGCUCGCAUGGUCAAGCACCUCAGUGGAGAAAGCCGAAAACUAACUGUCACAAUAAGCGUAAACUGGUCAGCGAUCCGAUGACUGUGUUAAAUGACAGGCCAUUCAUAACAAUGGCCGAAGUGUUUACGGCUUGACCUCGACUGUCGCCGAACACUACCGGGGGCUAUUAACUGGCCUCACAAACUAAAUCCUCGAUAUUUUGAUCUUACAUUGGAGCUGAGGUUUCAUGAUCAUGCUUAGCAUGACAACCCAAAGAAAGGAACCGAUAGCGGGACUAUUUUCUUUGGAAGACAUUUAUUACGUUAAACAGUAAUAUAAUAUAUCUCUCUACGUACCUUUGUUUAUAAAACCGUAUGGCCAGAUUGCCUUGUUUGUCGUAAAUAUUUGCCCUCAUAAAGGCUUUAUAAAGUAGGACAAACACUCCUCGGCUACUGGCCGAGGAGGAGGAAGCCGAUGAUCGGUCAACAAAGUUUUGUACAAUGCGGAUCCGAGCAUUAACGAUGUAAAGUACUUGGAUACAUAGAAUCAUUACACAUAAUUUGUGAUUUUACUCGGGAUAUUGAUCCUUAAUUCGGCCACCCGUGCCCGCAUUCAGGCUUGGGGGCUACUGGGCUUCGGGCUUAUUAUUUACAAAUAUUAAAGGGGCACAUCGAUCCCCUGAUCUGGUGUUGCCACCCGACCAGUGUCUCGGGGGCUACUGCAUUGCUUGUCCAAUGCAGAAAAUUUUAUGUGCAAUAUAGUUUCCGAGGAGAUUUGAUCCUCAGGUUGGUCGGCCGCACCCAACCUUAGUCUCGAGGACUGAGCAUUCCGCUUUUAGUGUCCCAAAGUAUUCUGCCGAGCUUGGACUUGAUCCUCAGGCCGAUUUUGCAAAUCAACCUGAAUCUCAGCGGCUACUGGGAUCAGCGGUCUUACGUCAUCCUUCAGGUGCAUCUCGGGUUUUAGACCGAUACACACCUUGAGGGCUACUGGCUAUAUAUCUCGGCAGAGAAUAAAUUGCACCAAUAAAAAAUAUUCACAAAAAUCGGCCCACAUUUGGGGUGGUGCACCACCUCGGAAGCAGCCCGGCAUAAAAGCUCGGGCGCUAGUGGAUGGCUCCAUAGAGGGCAUUUCCGGCAUUAAGCUCGGCUAAACUCCUUCAACUUUUUUGAACCAAGGUGAUAUGACACCUUGGAUAUAGUCCAGCGUUGGAGCUUGGACACAGUCCGGCGUUGGAGCUUGGACACAGUCCGGCGUUGGAGCUCGGAUAUAUUUCGGCGUUGGAGCUUGGACAUAGUCCGGCGUUGAGCUUGGAUACAUUUAGGUGUUAGAGCUCGGAAGCAGUCCGGCAUUGGCGCUCGGCUGCAAAAGAUACCUCGAAUACAGUCCGGCGUUAGAGCUCGGACGCAAGAGGACACUGCCUCCCGGGAACAACUUCAAACUCGAGGUGUGGCAUAAAAAUAAUAAGGCAUUGAUAAAGGCCGGAAACUUAAAGGGGCUCCUCGGAUACCCAGCGUAUAAACUCAUCGAAUGCAUUUCAGUGAUCCUCAAGAUCGAAGAUGAGAAGAUUUGUUGAACCAGUUUUCAAGACCGACGACCGAAGAUGAAGAACGGUACGGAAGAAUCGAGGAGCGUCCCUAACUUGAAGACCGGUUCAGGGGGCUACUGAUGGUGUCCUGGACUAGGGGGUACUCACCACGUCGUCUCCCGAUCUAUUAGAUUGGGCCGGGGACCCCCAUGGCUGUAUACUCAUGGGCCAGCUCGGACAGCCGCCGCAUACAAGGAAGAUUCCACAAGACUUGGUGAUCAAGACAAGGACUUCUCCCCACCGGCGUAUUCGGCUAGGACUCUUGUUAACCUAGGCCUGUGGUGCAUUAUAUAAACCAGGGCCAGGCUAGUCGAUAGAAAAGAGAUACACAACAACAAUCAUACCAUAGGCUAGCUUCUAGGGUUUAUCCUCUCUGAUCUCGUGGUAGAUCUACUCUUGUACUACCCAUAUCAUCAAUAUUAAUCAAGCAGGACGUAGGGUUUUACCUCCAUCAAGAGGGCCCGAACCUGGGUAAAACUUCAUGUCCCUUGCCUCCUGUUACCAUCCGGCCUAGACGCACAGUUCGGGACCCCCUACCCGAGAUCCGCCGGUUUUGACACCGACAGACACCCUAAAAGAAUUGAACAAGAUUCACAAAGAAAUAACACGAGUGCACCUAGUCCUUCUAGAAAGAAAAAGAAAAAUGAUAGGACUUUGCACACUUCUAGUGAACCUAAAAUAGAAAAACCUCCUGAUAAUGAAAACGAAGUUUCUAUCUCUGAUGCUGAAACUCAGUCUGGUAAUGAACACUCACCUAGUGAUAAUGAAAAAGAUAAUGAUGAUGUUCAUGAAGACUCUCAACCAAACAAUAAAGAACCAGACAAUGAUGUUGAGAUAGAACCUCCUGUUGAUCUUGAUAACCCACAACCUAAAAAUAAAAGAUAUGACAAAAGAGACUUUGUUGCUAGAAAACACGGUAAAGAAAGAGAACCGUGGGUUAAAAAACCUAUGCAUUUUCCACCCAAGUCAACUAAAAGGAAAGAUGAUGAGAAUUUGAACGCUUUGCUGAAAUGCCGAGGCUAGUCUUUUGCCAUACUCGCUUGACUGACAUCUUGAAAAUGCCUCCUUAUGCAAAGUAUAUGAAAGACAUCAUCUCAAAUAAGAGAAAAAUACCGGAAGCUGAAAUCUACACUAUGCUUGCUAAUUAUACUUCUAAAUAUGGAGUGCCUAAAAAACUUGGAGAUCCUGGAAUACCAACUAUACCUUGCUCUAUCAAAAAGAAUUAUGUGAAAACUGCUUUGUGUGAUUUAGGAGCUGGUGUUAGUGUUAUGCCUUUCUCUUUAUAUAAAAGACUUGACUUGAAUAAACUCACACCUACUGAAAUAUCUUUGCAAAUGGCUGACAAAUCAACUGCCAUACCUAUCGGUAUCUGUGAGGAUGUGCCCAUUGUUGUUGCUAAUGUUACUAUUUUAACUGACUUUGUUAUACUUGAGAUGCCCGAGGACGACAACAUGUCGAUUAUCCUUGGUAGACCAUUCUCGAAUGUUGCAGGGGCUGUUAUUGGUUGCAAUAAAAGCAAGGUCACUUUUCAUAUUAAUGACAAUGAGCAUACGGUACACUUUCCAAAGAAACAAUUCCAAGUGAAUGGUAUUAAUGUUAUUGAAAAAUCUCCGACAAUCACUAUUGGAAGUUUUCAAAUACCUUUACAUACUGUCAAAAAGAAAUAUGAAAUGCUUAUUGUUGGGGAAAUGCAUAUCCCCAUUGAGGUAACUUAGUGAUUUACGAAAUUUCUUCGGUUUCAUGCUAAUCGAAAGUGGUUGUUAAUAAGACUUGAUCAAUCUUAUUAAUGGAUCAUUUUUGAACGGUAUGAAGUUGAUGAAUUUAGUAAGCACUACCUUCUGUCCUUACCUUUUGUUUUCUGUUUUUAUUAGUUAAAUAAAAUAAAAUGCCAUGUUUUGUCUGUUUUCUAAAUUUUCCGUGCAAUAAAAAAUGACCCAAAAAUAAAAGUUCUCAGAAUGCCCUUAAAAUUUUACACGAUUUUUUCUGAAUAUUUGAUAAUUUUUGGUGCAAUAAACAUCAGAGGGAGGUGCACCAGGUGGGAACAACCCACCUGGGCAUGCCAGCACCCCCUGGCGCGCCCUGGUAGGUUGUGGUCCCCACGUGGCCCCCCUCACUUAUGUCUUUAGCCCACAUCAUCACUUACCUCCAGAAAAAAAAUCUCCAUUGCUCUCUCUCCCGUGUUCUUGAGCUCAAACCCGCAGGUUUCGAUCUCUUUGCUGGAAGCUCCGUUUUCGGAACUAUUUCGGGGGAUUGUUGAUAUGUGACUCCACCAUUUUUCCAAUUAGUUUUUGUUUUAGUGGUUUAUACGUUGAAUAAUUAUCUACUCUUGGUGCUGCUAUAGAUGUGCUUGGAUGUUGAAUUCUUAGUGUUCUAAGUAGUUUGAAUGCUUGCUAUGGCCUCUAUGUGUCCCUAUGAGUAGUUGCUAUGAGUCUUAUAAAGUUUUGUUGGCAAAUUUUUGUCACCCCAAAAUUUUUAUUUUCAGAAAAUUGUACGCGGACAUGAUGAACCUAUUUGGAAGGAGUUCUUCAAGGAGACGAUCCUCGGGGGCAUCUUCUAGUGACAGUUUUUCUCAUCGGUCUUAUGUUGAACCAAGUGAAAGUUCCACGUGAGAUGCCGCCACCAAGACAUGUUUAUGGCCUAGCAAUGAAUAUAUGGUGCGUGUGGGCAUUAAGGGCAAAUUUGAGCAAUAUGUUCACAAUGCCGGCCUCGGUCCCUACCUCAUAGAUAAGUGUGAACAGCACCAACUUCUCACUGAAUCAUUUGUCAAAGGAUUUAAAUAUUUUCUGCGUGAGUCUAGGGUGUCGUUUAUGCUUUAUGACAAUCCAUUUACUAUUCCACUAGAGAAUUUUGCUUACCAUUGCAAACUUCCAUUUUGGGGUUCGCUUGAUGAGCCACCAACGGUUGAGUUCGAGUCUUUCUUGACUAGCCUUUGCUAUGGUGAAAAUAGGGGAGUGAGACAAGGAAGAAUAAAGAGCAUUCACUUUCCCGCAAUUUGGUAUUUUUUAUUAUUUAAUGGGAAAUGCAUAGUAGACAAGCAAGACUGUAUCACACUUUGUGCGCCAGACUUCAGCCUCCUUCACACCGCUCUCACUGGUAAAAAGAAUUAUAACCUUGGAGCGAUUGUUGCAUGUAGACUUCAGCACAAAGCUAACAGUGGUUGGUUCGAUGGUGGAAUUUAUGCCACGCGUUUAGCACAAGAGCUGGGUGUUUCGCCUUUGCCCUUUGAUCCUAUCCUACCCAUGCGGUAUUUAGAUUUUGACACUUUAAAAGAACACAAGAUCCUUAAGGGAAAGGUUGAUAAUUUCACUUACAAUCUAACGUUUAACCAAAAAUCUAUUGUGGACACAUAUUUGCCUGCGCCUGCUCUUUUUCAUUAUAACAGCAAGGGAAUAUAUUUUGUUCUUGAGAGCAAGGCCCGAGCUCAUAAUGCAACAGUCAUGGCGGCACGGCACGCUGAGGCAUCCGCACCGAGAGCCUCCGUGAGCUACCACGUCGACUACUACCCUCCAGGCUACUGAUCGACUACCAAGUUAGGCCAAAAGCCUAAGCUUGGGGGGUACGUGUUUCCACCGACUUUACAUUCAUGUCUAUUUAUUCCAUUUGUCGGUGUUCACACUUUUUCAUUGUAUCAUCCAUGCUUAGAUUUAUUUUCUUGCUUUCUUCUUGUGUGUUUGAAAAACUUUAGAAAAACCAAAAAAGUUAGUUGUAGUUAAUUUACUUCCUAUGCAUGCUUAGUAGUAGUACUAAAAAGAAAAUCCAAAAAGAUUUCCUUGUUCUUCUUUUGCUUGUUGGGAGCUUUCCCAUGUAAAUAGUUUUCUCGUUUUUGCUUUUCCCUUUAUUGCUUGUUUAAGAAAACCAAAAACUCCAAAAAUAUUUCAAUGUGUUUCUCUGAAUUUCUUUUCUUUUUAUUCGAGUUGUACCGAGGAGAAGACCACGAUGAAAAUGUUGAAUGGCUCUCAUUUGAAUAAUUGUUGAACUAAUGCAGAGCACAUUUUACCUUGUCUUCUCUUGUUGAAUAAAAUGUUUGCAGAUUCCAGCUUAGUCCAUGGCACUCUUGCACUAUUAUUAUUUUCAUAUCAUUCGGUCGUGCAACUGAAAGGCAAUAAUGACAAUAUUUGAUGAACUUGCCGUGGCAGAGAGAAACUGGUAUGAACUCGACUUGUCCUGUCUGUGUAAAUAUGUUUAACCUAGCAUCCAUGAUUCAGCCUGUUAUGAUUAAACAUGUUUGCAAUGACAAUUAGAGAUUAUAGUUUCUCAUGCCAUGCAUAAGUAGCUGGGAGUUGAUAAUGAUUUAUCUUGGAUAUCAACAUUGUGUUAAAAUGAUUGUGAUGUAGUAUUAUGAUAUGGUAUCCUCCUCUGAAUGUUCAAGUGGCUUGACUUGGUACAUGUUCAUGCAUGUAGUUGAAUCAAAACCAACAUAGCCUCUAUAAUAUUUAUGUUUAUGGUGUUCAUAUCCUACUCAUGCUAGUGUCCAAUGUUACUUACACAUAAUGCAUGGUUAUGAUCGGUGUUGCUCUCUAGCUAGCAGCUUCUCAAUCUAAAUUAUUAGCCUUCGCCUGUACUAAGUGGGAAUUCUGCUUGUACAUCAAAAACCUUGAACCCAAAGUUAUUCCAGAUGAGUCCACCAUACCUACCUAUAUACGGUAUUACCCUGCCGUCCUAAGUAAAUUUUCAUGUGCCACCUCUAAGAACUUCUAAAAAUUAUCCAUUUUGUGUGCCUGGAUCGUUCAUGGAACGACAGGAGGUGGUCGAUAUCUUCCAUGCGAAGCGGGUUAUUCUCAGGUUGAGUGUUUAUUUACUCGCCAUCGCACGAGAAAAUGGGCGAUGAUAGGGAUUCCCAGUCCCGAACUCAAGAAGGCAAAUAAUUAAACAAAACUCCCCCGGGACUGAUGUUGGUAUGGAUGGCACCCGUUGUUUCGGACAAGCCGUGGAGUGUGAUUGAUGGUGGAGGGGGAGUAAACCUUUACUUUUAUCGCAUGGGAACCGCCACUAGUGUGCUUAGCAUGGAAGAUGUUGAUAACUGAUGGUCGUGAAGUAAAUGAGAAGGGUGCAUGUCUCAAAAUAAUCAUUUACCUCUAUUUUAAGAAUUGAGCUCUGGCACCUCUGCAAAUCACUACUUCCCUCUGCGAAUGGACUAUCUAUUUACUUUUAUGUUGUGUCAUCACCUUCUAAAACAAGCGCCAGAAACUGAGUAGAGCACAGUUGCCAUGAUUUAUGCAUUGUGUGUAGCUAAUGUUGGGUGCAACAUGACUGGAUCUUUUCUACCAUGAAUUACAAUGUUUAGUCACUUCUUGAACUUUGGAGGUGCUCUGCACUUAUGAUUUGCGGUCUUAGAAAGGGCUAGCGAGAUACCACUAUUGUCAUAUUAUAUCAUGGUUGUUUUGUCAAUGUGUUGCCGUUUGAGAUAUCUUAUUAUUGCUCGCUAGCUGAUUAUGUCAUUGAUACGAGUCAUUAUAAUCUUUAAGAGUUAUUGUUGACAUGGUUAGUUAUAAUGUUGGCUGAAAACCUAGGUGUUGUUUAAGCUUAUUUAUGCAAACAAGAGCAAAAGAGUUCGUAAAAGUUUUUCUUUCUCACUUUCAGUUUAUCAACUGAAUUGCUUGAGGACAAGCAAAGGUUUAAGCUUGGGGGAGUUGAUACGUCUCCAACGUAUCUACUUUUUCUCACGCUUUUCCUCUGGUUUUGGACUCUAAUUUGCAGGAUUUAAUGAAACUAACCCCAGACUGACGUUGUUUUCAGUAGAACUACCAUGGUGUUGUUUUUUUUGCAGAAAUAAAAGUUCUUGGAAUGGAACGAAACUUUUCAAGGAAUUUUUAUAUAAUAUAUAACAAUUUCUGGAGCCAAGACCUACCGGAGAGGAGCCCUGGGUGGGCACAACCCACCAGGGCGGGCCCCCCUCUACUGGCGCGCCCAGGUGGGUUGUAUCCACCUGGUGGCCCCGCAGACCUCAACCCUGACACUAUAAAUUCCUAUUUCCGGAGAAAAAAAUAGGGAGAAAGAAUUAUCGCGAUCCACGAGACGGAGCUGCCGCCAAGCCCUGUUCUUCCUCGGGAGGGCAGAUCUGGAGUCCGUUUGGGGCUCCGGAGAGGGGGAUCUUCGUUCUUCGUCAUCACCAACCCUUCUCCAUCGCCAAUUCCAUGAUUCUCCCCACCGGGAGUGAAUAAUUCCUUCGUAGGCUCGCUGGUCGGUGAGGACUUGGAUGAGAUUCAUCAUGUAAUCGAGUUAGUUUUGUUAGGGCAUGAUCCCUAGUAUCCAUUAUGUUCUUAGAUUGAUGUUGCUAUGACUUUACCAUGCUUAAUGCUUGUCACUUUGGGCCCGGGUGCCAUGAUUUCAGAUCUGAACCGUUUAUGUUAUCAUCAUUAUAUUCAUGUUCUAGAUCCGGUCUUGCAAGUUAUAGUCACCUACUACGUGUUAUAACCCGACAACCCCGGAGUGACAACAACCGGGCCCACUCUCGGUGAUGACCGUAGUUUGAGGAGUUCAUGCAUUCACUAUGUGUUAAUGCUUUGUUCCAGUUCUCUAUUAAAAGAAGGCAUUAAUAUCCCUUAGUUUCCAAUAUGGACCCCGCUGCCACGGGAGGGUAGGACAAACAAUAUCAUGCAAGUUCUUUUAAUAAAGCACGUAUGACUAUUUAUGGAAUACGUGCCUACAUUAUAUCGAUGAACUGGAGCUAGUGUCGUAUGGCCCUAGAUUAUAACUGUCACAUGAUGAAUAUCAUCCAACAAGUAACCGAUCCAAUGCCUACGAACUUUUCCAUAUUGUUUCUACUAAGUUACUACUGCUAUCAUCACUGUUACACUUGCUACAAAACUACUGCUAUCACUGUUACUAUUACUAUUUUUGUUGUCACUAAUAUCAAAACUAUCAAACUAAUUUGCUAUUGAUCACUUUGAUGCAGAUAAUUAAUCUCCAGGUGUGGUUGAAUUGACAACUCAGCUGCUAAUACCUUCAAAUAUUCUUUGGAUCCCCUUGUGUUGAAUCUAUAAAUUUGGGUUGAAUACUCUACCCUCAAAAAUUGUUGCGAUCCCCUAUACUUGUGGGUUAUCAUCGGCGACCCAUCUGCUUGCAGCGCCGCCUCCUUGCCAGCUACCCUUCUUCUUGCAGCGCCGCCUCCUCGCCGGCGACCCUUCUUCUUGCAGCGCCUCCUUCUCGCCGGCGACCCAUCUUCUUGCUGUGCGGCCUCCUCGCUGACGACCCUUCUUCUUGCUGCGCGACCUCGCCGAUAUGGUUAGGUAAUCUACACCCCACCCACACCAUUCUCCUCAUUUCCCGUCCCACAUGCCCCGACCGAUGGCGCGACACCUUCCACCAAAAUCAAUGCCCCCCUCCUCCAACUAAGCGCCGCCCACAACCAUUUUGCACGCAGUAUAACAUGGAGCUCGGUAGCAUGCGGCCGCACGUGCGCCCGAGGUCGCUAUGGCUGCCAUGCGUGCCGACCGCCAGAUCUUGGAGGAGAACCUUGUCUUCGAGGCCACCGUCGACACCGCCACGCGGUUGUCUGCUUUAAAAUAUAGUUCGUGAUGUUUUCUCGAGGCCACCGCCAGUGCCUUCCAGUGAUUUGUCCUCUGUAAUGUUAAUAUGCAAUCUGAUGUUCAGUUAAUAGUUUGGUCCUCUAAAAUGUAAUGUUCAGUUAACACUUUGGUCCAACAAUUGCUACAUUUCGUAGUACUGUUCUCAAGCAUUCUUUAUUAUGUUAACUAUCUUAUCUUCUAGUACAUGUUUCUAUUCUGCAAUGUCGUGCUCAGUUAACUAUUUUGGUUCAUUUGGUCUGCUGUCCAUUUAACUGUUUGGUUCAGUUCUGCAUUUGAUUUUCAUUUGUUGUCGGUACAAUUUUGUAUUGUUAUGCAUGUGACACCAAUCUAAUUUGGUUGUACUCAAUACAUAUUCUUCUGAUGGCAUGGCAACUCUCAGUUAACCUGAUCAAGAUCUUCCUUAUGUGUGUUGCAGGGAAAUAUGGGAGACACUGCAGUUUACCAUCGAGGUUUGUUCAAGCAUGGUCCUUUGGCUAAUAGCACAUUAUUAUGCAGUUGCAGGAAUCAUUCUAAUAUUUAGGUUUCUUACAAUUUGGUCUUGCACAUGUAGGUCCUGCUAUCAGAGGCUUAGACCCACUGUAUGACCCAUUUUGCAUAUGGGGAAGUGAGAUGUCCAUGGACCAUGAAUAUCAGUCAAGUCAAGAAACUCAGAAAGAUUGUUAGGAUGAAGAAACUUGCGACGAAUAAUAGCAAGAUCUUUGUUUGCACAAUGAAGAAGACAUCAGUCAACUAUAGGAUGGUACUAACUCUUUUACCUUGUUUUUACCCCUUGCGCCAUUUAAAAAUUUAUAACAACGAUUUAUGCAUAUCUUUGUUUUCAGUACUUUUCAAAGUAGUUCGCCGAUGAUUACCUCUCAAACCACCCGCAUGGUCAAGAGGCGAGGAAGGUAUUCAUUCAACACCCACGGUACAAUAUUGAAGUCUUGCUGAAGAGGACGAUGGUUGGGAGGGCAAUUAUCCAUAGCCACUGGCCUAAAGUUGCAAGGACAUUCAACAUCACUGAAGGCUCAAUAUUUGCCUUCCGCUUCUGCAGUUUCCUAGAUGAGAUUCAUUUGUCUAUUUACUAUGUAUGAUGCUACUUUCCAAAGGUUUUUGAUGCUGCAUGUGAAACUUGGUGCUAUUGUGUAAUGGCGUAACUGAGUGCCGAAGCUAUCUGAUGUGAUUCGAUUAUGAAAUCCUGGUUGUUGUUAUACGGAUAUGAAAUAUCUGGUGUGUUUUAUAAGAAAUAUCAAUUUGAUUAGUACAUGGAUUAUCAAUAAUAGGCUAAUUACCCUGCUUAUUGGGGUUUUCUAUUGCAGACGGUUACUCAGACAGCACUGUGGGCGAUGAACUCAAACAACCCACACGGUUUCUAGAGAGUAGGCGCGUUCGAUCAACUAACAAUCACACAUGGCUUCCGGUAGCGAACUGUUUGUGUCAGGCCAUCUUGCACAAACGUUCCACACAAAGAACUGUGUGUGAUAUACAUGUGAACGGAAAUGAUUUUCUGAGAUUCACCGUGUGGGAUGUACACACGAACGGGAAUGAUUGGGUUUCGAUGCCUCGCCCGAUCGCACACAAGCUCAUUUGGCCCCAGCUUGUGUCCUAUCCCCGAUGGUUUUUGGGUCGUGUGGGAAGGACCCCCCCCCUAUUGCCCACACUCACUUGGCGAUGGUUCCAAAUGUCGUCACGGAAAGGGGUUAAAAACCAUUUGUAUAGCAUGUUGUUGUACCAGUGGAGUAAAGAGACUUGUCGAUAAUGAGAUUGAACUAGGUAUGGAGAUACCGACGAUCGAAUCUCGGGCAAGUAAUAUACUAAUAGACAAAGGGAACUACAUACAGGAUUAGCUGAAUCCUUGACAUCGAGGUUCGACCAAUAAGAUCUCCGUAGAAUAUGUGGGAACCAAUAUGGGCAUUUCGGUCCCGCUAUUGGUUAUUGACCGUAGAGGUGUCUCGGUCAUGUCUGCAUAGUUCUCGAACCCGCAGGGUCUACACACUUAACGUUUGGUGACGAUAUAAGUAUAGUUGAGUCAUUAUGGUGGUUACUGAAGGUUGUUCGGAGUGACAGAUGAGAUCCCGAACGUGAUGAGGAACUCCGGAAUGGUCUGGAGGUGAAGAUUGAUAUAUUGGACGAAGGGUAUUGGAGUCCAGAAUUGUUCCGGGGGUACCGGGUGAUGACCAGCAUGACCGAAAGGGGUUUCGGGGGGCACCGGCAAGUGUUGGGGGGCCUCAUGGGCCAAGGGGAGGGGGCAAACCAGCCCACUAAGGGGUUGUGCGCCCCCUCACCCCAUCUCAUGUUGCCAAAGGAGGUGGGGGCGCCCCCUAGGGUUCCCACCCCUUUGGCUUGGGGCCAAGUCUCCUAAGGGGGGAAGCCCAUCUAGGGUUUCCCUCUUGUGGCCGCCAGCCCUAGAUAGGAUCCCCUAGGGGAACCCCCUGUCCCCCUUCCCCCUAUAUAUAGAGAGGUAGAGAGAGGGCGGCCGCACCCUCAUACUCCACGGCACUGCCCCUCCUCUCUCUCGUAGCCUUCUUCCUCUCUGUAGUGCUGAGAUUCCGCCACCGCCACCAUCACCACGCCGCCGUGCUGCCGGAGGACUCGAGCUACUACUUCACCAUCGCUCGCUGGAUCGAGGAGGUGAAGGCGUCAUCAAGUCGUACGUGUGUCGAAUGCGGAGGUGCCAUCCGUUCGGCACUUGGAUCAGGAGUUCGCGGGAUGGAUCAUGAUUGGAUCGUGAAGACAUUCGACUACAUGAACCGUGUUUCUUAACGCUUCCGCUUAGCGAUCUACAAGGUCAUGUAGAUGCAAUCUCUCCUCUCGUAGAUGGUCAUCUCCUAGAUUGAUCUUGGUGAGCGUAGGAAAUUUUUUGUUUCCCAUACUACAUUCCCCAACAGGGUGCUCGACUGCAUGAUAGGUGAUACUCGCUUCUGAUCCCCUACUUCUGAAUUGCUUCGACACAUAUGCUUAUGCCUUCCUAAAGAAAAUGCACCCGUUUUUGUUCAACAAAGCAAAACCUAAUAUGGCGCAAAUGGCGUGCCUUAUGGAGCCAUUGCCCGCGGAUGUUAUACUUCAAAAGAGAUUCCUCAUGAAAGACUUGUAGUACACUCUGAGGACAAUUUAUUAAAUCAUGUGCAACACUAUUUACCCCAUUAAAGGUCUUCAUUCCAAAACUAAGAUCAAAGGAGUUAUGAACAAUUUGGUCUACAACAUCACAUACUCCAAGUGUUUUGAUCGUCGUGAUUUCUUUUUGAGGACUUUAGCCUCAUCUUCCAUUGAACUGCAUGAUGAAAAUUCUUUGCAUCUUGGAUUGUACUCCCUCCGUUCCAGAAUAUAAAGUGUAUUGAUUUCCGUGCAAGUCAACCAUUUGAAUGUUUAACCAAGAUUAUAGAAUAAGACAACAACACCUGCAAUACCUAAUAGAUAAAAUAUGAAACUACUAUUCAUGAUGGAUCAAAUGAUAUAAAUUUUGUAUUGUGGAUGUUGACAUAUUUUUCUAAAAACUCGGUCAAACACGCACUUGUUUGACUUUUGAAAAAAAACAAAUACACCUUAUAUAAAGGAACAUAGGAGUACAUUUCAUUAAGCAUUACCAAUGCAUUUCUUACCAACACUCAGCCAGUAAUCAUAAAAUAUAUUUAUUUCUCCAAUUGAAGUUCUUUGGACUACAUUCUACCCUGCAGAAGGAAAAUUUUCCUUGUAUAAUGAUGAUGCCCAAGCAACACUACUUCUAAUAAUGAAGAUAAUACAAUGCAUGGUGCCACAACUGAAGAAACUACCACAAAGCACCUUGCUGGCCAAUUUUGUCAGCCGCGUAAAAGUGAUACUACCACAUAGACAAUAGGUACUUUCACUACUCAGCGCAAGAGAUCAAGAGUGAUGACCGAUGGAGAACUUGUUGUCACUCUUUAUCAAAAUUAUGAUAGGAAUCAUGACUGGGCACAAAGACAGAGAAUGCAAAUUCUUCAUGACCUCAAUAGAGUAGGAAACGAUACGUUGAAGAAUGCUUUAUGUUGUGCAUGAAACUUUCUGCCAAUCAUGGGCUAGUUUGUCGCUGCAGAAGACUAUUGUAGAACUUCAAGAUCCUAGCUUUGAUGAAAGUUAUGAAUGGUAUGCUCCUCCACCUUCUAUACAGUCACAACACACUCCAUCACCGGUUACUUUAGACUAUAGUUCUUCAACCUACAUUAUUGACAUCGACAUCGAAAGCAAAGAAGACGUGACCACUCCUCCUGCGCUAAUUGCACAAUGUCUGGAAUCAUCUACUAAGCAUGCUGCUCCACCACACACCCCUAACACCAUCGUUGACCUGGUUGCACCCUUCAUCAACUGCUCCAGGUGACGCAUAAAAGCUCUCUUUCCUCAACCUUUUGAUCCUUUGAUGACAAAGGGACAAUGAUAUAAGGAUUAUAGUCUUCAAGCGGGUGUCUAUAUGGGCGGGCUCUAUUUUUUGUUAAGUUGCAACUCUCAUUGUUCUGUGGAUUUGUUGUACUAAGUUGUAAACUUAAGUCUGGUGGCUAUCUAAAACUUUUGAACUACUAUUUCUUCAUGCUACUCUUUAAGUCAAUCGUACAUGCAUGAUGAUAUUCGUCAUAGGCCACUUCUAAUUGCGUAUUGCUAAUUCUUCAUGUUAAUCCUUCAAUGCACUAUGUUGGAUUCCAAGAUAUGGGGAGAGUUCUCCACAAUUACUACCUGGCAUGUGCAUAUGCACUCCAAAGUAAAAUUUUCAUAUGGACAUCUUCAAGGGGAGUUCUUUCUGUAUCAUGUAAUCAAAAUCUUCACAUUUUUACUUUCACAUAUUAUAUAUCCUAGUUGAAAACUUUAACCAGUUUUGCUAUCAAUCACCAAAAAGGGGGAGAUUGUAACUGCAUCUAGUUCCCCUUUGUGGUUUUGGAGUAUUGAUGACAAAAGUGGUUAAGGGACUAAUAUGUUUGUGUGUAUACACACGUGGAAGUCCCUGGAUAUUUUGGAACGCAUCUAGUUCACCAUUUUGGAAUGCCAUUUUUGAGCUGCAUCUAGUUUGCUAUUUUGGAAUGCCAGACACCGCAGAGGGGUCUCUAAUUUGACUCUCAAUCAGUGGAGAAAUUCUUUGGUUGGAGUAGGGCUGCAGGAAAAGCUCGAGGCUCGUUAGGCGCUCACGAUCGACUCGAGUACCAUAUAUGUUGUGUAUGAUUUUUCUCCAUUUUACCUACUACCAAACAUGGAAGCUUAAUUUAAUGUAGAGAAAAUUUAGCCCCAAUAUGGUAUGUUAUUAGCCAUGUGUUAAAUAUCAUGUUAUUUUGGCCAAAUUUUGAGAGUAGAAGCACCUCCAUUUUAUUCUCUUGCUAGUUUCUCCAUGAUCUCUUGCUAUUAAGUACUAGUCUUAAGUUCAGAAAGAGUAAGUUGAAUUAUGUAAUGGUUUCUUAUGUUGUGUUGUGGCCUACCUUGUUUGAAAAAUUGUCUUUGAUUAUUAAAAAAUCAUCAUCUUUAGCUUGAAACUAGAUCGUGAUCAACUUGAGAUUGUUACAAGCUGAGCACCAGCCACUUUCUACAACUCAACCUUGAGCUUCGCAUGGUUUGAGCUCGCUUGAAUUUUAAUAAAAGUUGAAUUGAUCCUAAUCCAUCUCACUCAAACUCGACUCGUUUGCAACCCUAGUUGGGAGUUAUAAUGUAGCUUCAGAAAUCGUCAGAUUGUCACCAACUUCCUCUUCUCCUACGCUGCGAUCUAGUUGGUGAGAUUAGAUCUAUCCUUCAUCUUCAUAGUGAUACUGGGUGUGACUAUAUACCAUAAUGUUUUUUGUCGCAUAGUAUGUCCCCCUAACCCCUCUCCGGAGGCAAAACUCUAGCCUCCAGCAGCCCUUCGGGAUGAAGAAUAAUGGUGACGAUGUCUCCAUGUCGUAGAAAAAUCACGCAAUAAUCAUGAAAGGGUUUCAGGGCAAUAUAAAGCCAAAAACACCAGAGGGCAGCUAUAGGGAUCACACAUACCCUAAGUGCCCCUAUAAGGUGGAAGCCUAAGUGGAGCACCUAGGCACCAUGUGCCACCUCCUAACCCGAUUCCAGGCCCCUGGUCCAUCAUAUGUUGCAAAAAAAUAUUAUUUUUUCCUGAACACUUUCCUACACAAAAAUAUAACACCAUGUAUUUUUUUAUUCUAAAAACAAUGUUAGUCGCGGUUAGUUUUUAUUCAUAGGAGCAAGUUUUGCGCCCAAAGUUAAGCAAAAGUGUUCAAAAAGUAGAUUACAGACGUAUCACGUUUCCAUCAUGUCUGCCAACAUGGAGGCCGACCAACAAGAUGAUCAAGGACAAGGUGCUAGCUCGAAGGGCGUGAUGGUUGGUGACGGCGUGGCGAUGGCUGCGCGUCCACGAGCUUGUCUCCUUGGUGAUAGGGUGGCUUGACCGACAUACUCUUGGUUCCAGUCUCCAUGGGCGAAAGCCAUGCUUCUAAUGGGGAUCGGUUACCAAUAAAGAUGUCGCGGUGGUGCCUCUUCCUUGGGAGUCGUUGUCGAAGGGUUUGCCCUCUCAACUAGGCUGUGGUUGGUUGUUUAUUGGGUUGUCGUGGUGGUUGUUGGUGUGGCUGGACCCUUUCCCAUGUUUCUACAAGGAGUCAUGGACGGCUUCUAGGCGAAAGCUUUAUUGAUUGACCGGAUCGAUGCCUGCAAUGAAGACGCCUUUCCUUCUUGAAGGCUUUUCUGAACAUCUCUCUCACUUUGUCCAGGUUGUCAGCGAGUAGGCGAUGAAGGUCAAGUUGGCCGACUGCGGUUUUUGUUGUUUCCUUUGUCUUUUUCUUAUUUUCUUUUCGUGUUCAUUGUUGAGGUUUUCACCUGAUUGUCCUUUAUCAACCAAGUAGUCAUGUGGUUUUUAACCUAUUUUUUCUUAUAAACCAGAUCAAUUACAGUCUUUCUAGUGAAAUAAUAGGAGCACCUGGCCUCUUGACAAGGUUCCAUGAAAAAGAAAGCACUCGCCUAGCCUCUUGGGCUUAUUGGGUUUAAUGGGACCCUGAGAACAUUUACAGCCGGGCACCUCAAACCCGCUUCAUACAUUCGGGCGGGCCGCCCGGUCACUUACUGGUCACGUUUUUUCGAUCCAGACGGAUGCCUCAAACGGGCCUCAAAUGCCUGGGCCGACCGGCACCCCUCAUAUCCAACCCAAAUAUGGGGCGCCCGGGCACGCCCGCCACGUCGGACUAACGAAGGGGUCCCAAUCAGAAAUGCCCUCAAACCCGACGGUCUGAAGCGCGUCUCCUCCGUCGGACUGGUGACGCCAUGUGGCAUAGUUUCGGCGGGCUGCGUAGUGCCUUGCCCGACUAUUUAAGUCGACCGGCGGCAUCGGAACCCUACCAUCCAUCCAUAUUUUCCUCCUCCUGUCCAUCGCCGCCGCCACUUUCCACUCCACCCGUCCACCUAGUAGCCAUGCCCCCACGCCGUCGGGUGAGGAGCGAGCCAUUUCUGACGCCGGAGCGCCGCUGAGCAGAUUCGGGCUAGGCGCAAAGCCCGGAUCGCCACAGGGCUACCUCCAGAUGCAGUUGAUCCGGAGGAGGAGGAGGAGGUGGACGAGGAGGAGGACGAGGAGGAGGACCUUGAGGAGGAGGGGGAUGAGCCGGAGAAGGAGGGUGUGGGGGACGCUGGCAACGGGGAUCUGCAGGCGGAGCGGCAGGCUAUCCUCAAUUCCCACUGGUUGGAGUCGGCUGUGGAGGCAAGAUGCCAUCGCCGGCAGGAAAUGGAUGCGCAGCAGGCCGCGGGGGAGGCGGAGAUGCUCGCCUACCUGGAUGAGGUCGAGCGGGAGGAGGAUGAGCCGUAGCCCUCCUACUCGCUCGUUCAGCCGGCGCCUGGCACCGUCGUCGUGGACAUCUUCAACAAUGAAGAGUAGUUAGGGUAAUACGGAGAUGUAGUACAUAAGAUUUCUUUUGCAUGCUUUGUGUGAAUCUAAGAGAUAAAAUAUGAGCGAAAUAGAUGCAAAGUGGCUAAUAUAAGACGUGACCGGUCACCAUUCGCGGAUCGCGUCCGCGGGCGUUUAAGGGACCGGAUUUGCAAAGUACUAUUGUAGAUGCUCUAAGCUGCUUCAUGAUUGAACCUGAAAUAAGUUGAGAGAGCUAGGUACCUUUUAGGUGGUGAUGUAUGAAGCACGAAUCCUAGCCAGGUUAAGUGACCGAUGUACACUGAUCCAGCCGUGGUACCACGCCCACAUGCAACAAGCUAAUGAAUAUAACCAGAAUUGUGGCCGAGAUUCGAUGAUGCGCCGUCGAAUCAUAGCUAAGCAGGAAGAACAACUUCUCAAGCACACAAGUACCUAUCGAUCUUGCCUAUAUUUCUUUCGCGACACUUUUCAAUUUUAUGUAUGCAUUUAUCAUGUAAAUGUUAAGUUUUUUUAAACAUAAAAGGAUAUGAGCUGUUGGUAUCCUCCAAGUAUAGUAGAAAGGCUCAAAGAAUAUAGAGGCAUUAUUUUACGAAAAUACAAAAGUGAACAUGGUUCCACACGCACCUAAUAAAUUGUAAAUUUGAAAGAAAAAAAUUAUGAAGUUUAAAAAAAUACUGAAAUUUUAGGUUAUCAAAUUUGGUCGACCAUUCUACUAGUGUGUGGUGUUUCGUGAAGAAAUGGCAUCCCUGAUAUUCUUUGUGAAGAAAAAACAGUUGGGACCUUACUAUUCAUCAAACAAUGUUUUUCAAUAUAGUUUCGAUUUUAGCAUUUUUGUCAAGAAUAGAACAUUUGUCCAUUUUUCGGGAAACUUCAUACGCAAGUAUACUGGUCGACUAUGUAUUCAUAAGAAGUGUGUUUGAAACCAUGUUCAUCAAAUCCGUACGACACACAAUUGCAGCCAUUUAUCCAUGUCUUUCAAUGCUCUACAGCCGUGGAUCCUAAGGCCUAUUUCAGUGCUCCAUGAUGUACGGACGCUAAGUAUACUACGUAAGCAAAAAAAUGACGUGGCACAACAAAUGAAGUAAGCUUGCUACAACAAGUUAAGCACCCAUUCAUUGAGGAUUUGUGUUGCUAAGAGGAAGUACAAUAAGAUGAUAUAGCCCGGCCGUAAGACUUUAAAGUUUAUAUCUUUUAAAUCUGGAAAGAGAGAAAUGAAGAGAUAAGAGAAACAGGCUACUGAUUAACAACCGGCUACAACACCCGUUCCCAGACACUUUCUAAGAGAAUUAGGUGAGCCAUGUAUGAACAUAGUGGCAUAUUUUUGUAUGCAACUAGUGUACAUGCUGGCUAUAAGUUUGACUAGAGAUGACGUGACAAUAUCAUAUAACCAUCAGAUGAUUGUACUAUUAACAUACUCUAAGCUAUUUAAUGCACUUAGCACAACAUCUAAGCAUCUUUCUAGUAUUACAUUAAAAGAGGCCUAGGGCAUAUACAAUUCGGGGCACUAAGCCUAGACGCUAGGAUUAAUAUCCUGCCCAACUGACAGGUAGAUUAACAAAACCUAGCGCCUUACCUCGCAUCAACGCGAAGAGUGGAGGCGGACGCUUUGCCUUUUUUCUCGCGGGACUCUAGAGAUGCAUGUAGCGUUCGAUUUUUUCUACUGUUUUCCGAUUUAUUAGCAUCGGGUUGGAAAUCGGUAAGCUGAUUUUUAUUUUACUGUAUUUAUUCUUUUUUUUUCGUAAGCGCCUACACAAGCGCUCUGCAGUGGAGAUGUUCUAAGUGUCGUACGAUUUUCGCUCGGCGGUCCAUCGUCUGCACAGUAAUUCUGGUAUUGGGUUUAAUGUGUCCCCGAGCUGCUUGAUGAUUGAAUCUGAAAUAGGCCGAGUCGCUGAGACUCUGAGAGACCACAUACCAGCUAGGUGGUGAUGUAUGAAGCCACGAAUCCUAGCCAGAUUAAGUUACCGAUGUACACUGUGAUCUGGCCGCGUGCCUUGCCCACAUGCAACAAGCCAAUGAAUAUAACCAGAAUUUUGGCCGAGAUUCGAUGGUGUGCCGUGGAAAUCAAUUUUGGGCAAGUAGAAAGAAAUCAUAGCUAAGGGCAUCUUUCAACGAACUACUCUCAAAUCGUCUGCAUAGGUAUUGACCACACUGUUCGGAUCACAGAAGCCAUCCAACGCAGAGGUGUAUCGGUCCGCAGGGCGAUUUGUACGCGCUUUCUCUUGUAAAUUGGAGAUAAAAGCGUGCAUGUGUGUGGAGAGGGGGGUAGGGGAUGCGAGAGUCCGGACAGCAACCACGUAGGACUUCAACACCUCGGCUCACCAAUCCUCAAUUCCGGUCUCAUUUUCUUCCGGUACGCCCCUACUCCCCCUUGCUUUGCAUCCGCACCUUUCACCUCUGCCGCUACCGUUGUACGUCUUCGGCAGCCACAAAGGCAUUAUUGGACGUCUGCAACCAACACUGACGUGUCUACUCGCCUUUACAAUGGUGCUAUCCACCCUGGAGCCGUUUGUAUCCAGGUACACUCCGCCCCCUGUCGACGACCUUCAUGGUGGACACCACACCUGGUAGGUGUUCGGUCAAAUGUCGGUAAACUUAUUCGUUCACUCAAUGUUGGUCUACACAUUAUAUAGCCAGCACGAGCUGUCGUGAUGUAUCACGGGACAGAGGGACAACCAUUUAAGUACACACAUUGUUGAAUGAAACUGAAGGAGGAGUAUGUGUGGGACAACAUGAUCCGUUGAUAAAAACUUAUUGAACAUCCGGUUAAUCUAGUCGAAUUUAGAGGCACUGUUGUACAUGUUGGAGGGGAAAGAGAGGAUUGGUGGAAUAAUGUUGUUGUAUUGCUUGAGCCUCGUGGGCAUAUAUAUAGGAGUACAAUGAUCUACUUGGAGUACAAGGCAAGCCAGAAUAUUUCCUAGUCUAACCUAUGUUUCCUAUACAAUCACGUUACUCAACAUCCCCCCGCAGUCACAACGGUAGCGAUGCAGACGGUGAGACUGGAGAAGAAUCCGAAGGCAAGCCGACGGACACCCCCCACAGUCGUAACGGUCGAUGCAUCGCGGAGUCGUGGCUGGAGUGGAAACCAACGAGGUUGCUCAAGCAGGCGGUAGCCCUUUGUGCCGUUUGUCGAUGUAGCCGAGAGCGUGGGUGGUGGAGCCGUGGUCGAGGUAGUCGUGCGAAGAAUGCCGUGGUCGAUGUCGAGUCGGGGUAGCCGGUGUCGAGGAAGUCGCCAUGGAGCCGCGAGCGCAAGGGGGCGCCGAGUUAGCAUGGGCGCAGUGGUGUCGAAGUAGUGGUGCGCCAGGAAGUAGAUGAUGUUGACGACGCGUCGCUGCGGGUUUGCCAAGCCCGGGGACACAUCGUGGACGAAGGCACGCACCGGUGUUGCCAGCACCGGGCAUGCGUAGACGGACGAAGACGAAGUUGACGAAGUGUCGCGCCAGGCUUGCCAGGCCCGGGGACACAUCGUGGACGAAGGCACGCGGCGGUGUUGCCAGCACCGGGCAUGCGUAGACGAGGGACCUGCACGAGCUGUACACCAUGUCGGAGAAGUCGGAGAGGCCAGCAGAGAAGGACUCGACGACGGUUGCGGCGCCAAUCGGCGCGGGGCCAAUGUCGCCCGCGGUUGUCGGAGUAGAUGAAGCGGUCGGGGUAGAUGACGGCGACGCUGGCGACGAACUGGUGUUGGACGAAGACGAAGGGGGUGGACGGGCGGCGGCGGCGGCUACAAAGGUAGCGGCGGCGACGGCCAAAGAAGAGCGGCAGCGGCGGCCUGAAGGCGGCGGCGGCGGCUAGGUUAGGAGUGCGGCAGCGGUGCUCGACGUAGGCGAAGAACCCUGACAUCAUGACGAAGACCGGCGUGGACGGUGGCGUUCCCGCGCCAAGGGAGACGGCGCGGCGCAUACCACGGGAGGUCGACGCGCGGUGACGGCGGUGGACCGCGGGCCGCGGCGCUACGGCCCGAAGGGGCGAUGCGGCGGCGGCAGGCAGGUCGGGGUGACGACGGAAGACCUCGGGACGGUCGCAGGGACCGCGGGCCGCGGUGCUAUAGCCCGAAGGGGCGGCACAGCGGCGGAGCGCGGGGUGGUGCAACCGCGUGGACGGCCUCGAGACNNNNNNNNNNNNNNNNNNNNNNNNNNNNNNNNNNNNNNNNNNNNNNNNNNNNNNNNNNNNNNNNGUGACGGCGGUGGACCGCGGGCCGCGGCGCUACGGCCCGAAGGGGCGACGCGGCGGCGGCGGGCAGGUCGGGGUGACGACGGAAGACCUCGGGACGGUCGCAGGGACCGCGGGCCGCGGUGCUAUAGCCCGAAGGGGCGGCACAGCGGCGGAGCGCGGGGUGGUGCAACCGCGUGGACGGCCUCGAGACGGCGGCGUGGACCGCGUGCCACGCUCGCUACGGCCCGACGGGGCGACGCAGCGGCGGCGCGAGGGUCGGUGCAGCCACGGGGACGGCCUGGAGUGGACGACCUCGGGGCGGCGGUAGACCGCGGGCCGCGGCACUACGGCCCGAAGGGGCGACGCAGCGGUGACGCGGGUCGGUGCAGCCGGGAGGAGAACCACGGGGCGGCGGCGCUGCGGCCCGACGGGGCGACGCAGCGGCAGCCCGUUGCUCGAUCGACGGAGGGGCGCGCUGAACUCGGAGACGAUCUUCACGGGACCUGCGAAGGCGCGCGUAACCGACGGGCCAGGUCGGUCGCGCGGCGUAGAUGAGGCUGAUAGCGGCGGCGAGCGGGUGAUCAAGCCGAUCGCGCGCGAGGUCGGGGACACCGCUCGGUGAAGGCGUGGUGGCGGCGGAGUCCGAGAUGAAGCCGGCGGCGGCGGGCGGCAGGGCGGCUAUGAUUGGCCGCCGCAUGGCGCGAGGCCGCCGGGUCGGGAAGAUGCAGGAGUCCCGGUCGGAGCAGGCGGUGACGGCCGGCGUAGAUCAACGGGCGGGCCGUCGCGCGAACGGCGGCGGUGAAGGGCCACCGCAUGAUGCGAGGCCGCCGGGUCGGGGCGACCGGCGGGUAGACGCGUGGAAGACGCGCGAGGCCGCCAGGUCGGUGAAGACGCCGGUGUAGUCGAUGCCGAAGUCGGAGUAGAGGCGCACGGGGUCGAUGGCGGCGGUGGGCGACGCAAAGCGGAUCACAAAGACCGGAAAACCAAAAAGUAGACGCCGAUCAAAGCGACCGGCGAGAGAGAAAAACCCAGAUCAAAGGAUCGGGAAAAAAGACUCUCUAGGGCAGCCGGCCAACACGGCCGGCGGACGAACCCUAGGUACGGGCGGCGCGGCCCCCGGCGGCGGUCAUGGAGGCCGACCGCCCCAGGGGCGGCGCGCAAGUGCGGAAGCGGCGGCGGCUAGGGUUUAGGAUCGACUUGCGAUAGAUACCAUGUUGGAGGGGAAAGAGAGGAUUGGUGGAAUAAUGUUGUUGUAUUGCUUGAGCCUCGUGGGCAUAUAUAUAGGAGUACAAUGAUCUAUUUGGAGUACAAGGCAAGCCAGAAUAUUUCCUAGUCUAACCUAUGUUUCCUAUACAAUCACGUUACUCAACAUACUCGACUUAAGUUGCAUGCUAUGUAUGGAUGAUUUACACUAUUUUCUAUUCGAACUUUGAUGAAUAUCGGUGGAUUUGCACGAUUUUCGUUUGGUUAGUUCAAAUGCGGGUCGAAAUGUGUACGAGCAACAUUGGAUGACUGCCUCCUACAUUCGUGUUCGUGGACUGAUCCCUCGUCCACGAACAGAUACAGAAGGAAAUUUGCGGGUCGCCGUUGGAGAUGUCCAAAGCAGAAAGAACAACUUCUCAAGCACACAAGUACCUAUAGAUCUUACCCAUUUACGUAUGCAUUUAUCAGUAAAUGUUAAGGUUUUCUUAUAACAUAAAAGGAUAUGACAUUUUGGUACUCUCCAAGUAUAGUAGAAAGUCUCUAAGCCCCCGCAAAAAGAAAUUGUCUCUUAAGAAUAUUGGGGCGUUCUUUUACAAAAAUACAAAUGUGAACGUGGUUUCACGUUCACCUAUGCGAAUAUUAAAUUUUUGAGAAAAUAGUAAAAAAAAACUGAAAUUUAGGGGUAUCAAACUUGAUCAACCAUUUUACUCAUGUGUGAAAUUUCGUGCACAAAUGACACCCUGGUAUUUUUAUGAAGAAAAUAUAAUUUUGACCUUAUUAUUCAUCACACAAUGUUUUUUAAUAUAGCCUUGAUAUUUUUUUCAUUUUUGCCCAGAAUAUCACGGGUGUCAUUUCUUCGUGAAACUUCAUACAUUGGUAUACCGGUCGACUAUAUAUAUUAAUUUACCAUAUUCAUAAGGGGUCUGUGUGAAACCGUGUUCACCAAAUCCGUGGCCCAUUUUUAUAACUAGUACUGUACGUACUAGUAUAUUGGAUAUUGUGAGGAGUUUAGUAGAGUUUUUUAACACAUGUAGAGUUUUCAGACUUAAUCAUUUCUUGGCUAUGUACUCCUCUCUUAGAUGGUGAAACAUCACUGGUCGGUAUCAAAAUCAAAAUCAUAUGUACAGCUAGCCAUGGGACCACACGUGUUUUUGCAGGCUUGAUGAGACCCAAUAAUGCAUUAUUUCGCUGUAUUCUCGAAGUCACUGAAUUUUUCUUCAAACGAACAGCGAUGAUACGUUGGUGCUGGAUGUGGCGCCACGACGCUGUCGACGCUGCAGCCGUGCGUUACGUACGUAUCCGUCCAAAUCCCUUGCAUGUCGCUAUUACUACUCUCGCGUGCCUUCUUUUGCUCUCUUCUCGCAGUCAAUAAUACUUGCAGCAGUACGAGUUUUCUUUUGUAGGUAGAAGAACAAUGUAGACCGACUUGCAUGUGCCGAAACACGUAGGGGUUUCUACAAUUUUGAUACGACAUAGCAACACUGUUGAGCAGCACAGAUUUACGAUUCAGUGUAUUGGAAUAUAUUGCUCAUCUUUUUUCAUCAGUUCAGACUUUUGAGGCAACUAGCUGGAAUAUGAAUUCAAUACAUUGCAUCACCGUAACAAAAUUGCAAUUCCAUUCUCAUUAUGUAGUCGAUACAACAGUGCAUUGUUGACAGAUAUAUCUGGAAAUGAGGGCCAUGCAUGUUGUUUUCAAUUGGACAUAAUAUUGCUACACAAUAUUUGUUGACAGUAUAUGUUGCGUCUGUCUAACGCCUCAUAGCAGUAGCAGUUGUAUAUACUUAUGUAGUAGCCAAAAUCAGAGUAUACGUGUAUAGGCAGUAUGGCCAAGGCACCGCGUGUUUCUCGCUCCUUGCCACAUCACGAGCAGACUAUGCUAGGUGAGAACGAAAAAUGAUGGGAGUUUUCUUGCGACUAAUCUCUGAAAUAAAUGAGGUUCGUUGGUUGGUGUUGCAUCUUGCAUGUGGCGCCACGACUCUGUUGACGCAGCACCGCGUAUCUUCCAGAUCCCGUGUCUCAGUUGCCUGUUGAAACCAAACACAAUAUUUCUCUAUUAUCACAACUCACAAGUGCCAAAUUUUACUUAGCCGUGUCUUCUGUCGGCCUGUCCUCUUGCAACGGAGUAAUGUGUCCUGGAUACACGAACGUCGGAAUGAACCUUGUAUGUGUCGAAACGUAGGCAGAGGGUCAUCGAAGGACAAACAUCUGGCUGAUUUCGCAUAAUAUAUAAGAUGACAAGCGAUAAAAUCAGCCAGCACGUAACAGGAUUUCUUCUGAAAUACUCUGUAAAAAAUAUAAGAACGUCUAGAUCGCUAAUAUUUCUUAAAGAGGGAGUACUUUUUUUUGCGAGAAAACUUCCAAUCUAUUCAUCUUCAAUCAUGAUAGUACAACGAACGCUAGAAAUAAUAAAAAUUACAUCCAGAUUCGUAAACCACCUAGCGACGACUACAAGCACUGAAGCGAGCCGAAGGCGCGCCGCUGUCAUCGCCCCUUCCUCGCCGGAGCCGGGCAAACCUUGUUGUAGUAGACAGUCGGGAAGUCGUCGUGCUAAAGCCCCAUAAAACCAACGCACCAGAACAGCAAUCGCCGCUGACGAGUGCUACCUACAUCCUUUUUUGCUGUAAAGAGUAGAACAUUUAUCUUUGUUCUUUUUGUGGGCAACAUUGGUCUUUUUUACAAAAAGCAUCAAUUUAUUAUAAAAACUCAUCGGAAGCACAAAGCAUUUCAAAUAUAAUAAAAAUUACAUCAAGAUUAAGAGACCACCAAACAACCAUUACUACCAACAGAAUGAGCCGCCGACAUUGAGCAUUAUUUAUGUAAGGAAUAUUAGUUUUAUUUUUAGCUAAUGUUUACACACUAAUAUUUAGAUUAUACUAUUAAUUAAGAAAAAAACUGUAAAAAGAAAUAUCUAGAUGUAGGAUAGUUGUCCCCAAAUUUUACAGGAAAGACCGCAUGGAAACAUACAAAUACAUGUGGGCCCUCAAGAAAAUCCUUCUGAAUUGAAUGCAUCGCCGCUCGCUUUGUCAUUGCAUCAUCAGAGGAGAGAAGGAAGAUGAGAAGAGCAACAACUGUGUCGUCCACACAGACCUGUCGUGUAAGACAUGAAUUGGGGGCGGAAGAGGCCGAAUUAGCAAUAAAAAGAACAUGUGUUCCCCUAAGUGGAUUAGUGUAAAUGUCAUACCAAUUAAGGAGUAACCUUCUUUCCUAAGUGUAUAGAAGGUGUGUUAGUCCAUAAGUUUGCGAGCAAAGAUGAUUGAUGAACCCCAUAGCUAGAGAGAGAAGAAAGAUGACAUAUUUGAAAAUGUAUCUUUUUUUUCUCUUGAUCUUGAGUCAUAGGAUAGCCACACUAUUAAGAGUGGUCUUAUGAUGAACUUAAAGCGAUGAUUUUCGGUUGAGGAUUUAAAGUGAUAAUUAUGUUGCCUACAUAUAUCCAAAUACAUAGACUAAGUUCCAUACAUAAUUUCACCAAAUAGCCUUGGUGAGAUUUCCAUUUCCAAAUAUUCCAGAGGAGAGUUUUUGUGUGGCUCGAAACAUCGUUUCAGAUGUUUCGAGACGAUGUUUCACGGUGUCCAGAAUCCGGGUUACUUUCCAUAUUAUGUUCUGGAAGUGGCAUAGCAAAAGUAUUGGGUUGUUCCAAAACCCAACUACGAAACCUACUCUGAAAUCAAAACUAGUGAAAGAUCGAAGUAGAACGACUAGGAAGGGAAGAGGUGAAUAGGCGUUUAUCAAAACUCUUUGAAAUAAAGAAAUCCAUUGCAGAAAAUAUAGAUAACAAACUAUAAUAGUGUGCAGUGCCAAAGAAAUCUAGGAAGAUAACUAGUGAAACAUACAAGCAUGUAUGGAAACAACUAAGUAAAAAAACAUUGCAAUGACCGAGGUAAGCUAGGAAAGCAUUAAACAAUGCUGAGAGAUAUGCUGAGGAACUUAACUAGCAACAGGAAGAAAUGCUUCAAACUAAACAACUUGAAAAACACUUAACAAAAUUAAGCGGUGGAAAGAUAAGUGCUCGGAAAGACUUCACAACAGUCACAAAGAGUGACAGAGAGAGAAACUCCUCAAAACAUGGCAAAGUAUUGAAAGUAAAGGUUCAUAAGGUAUGUGAAGAAACGAUGAUUUCUUUAACAAAGUUCAAACUAUUGGCAACAAUUGUACAUCUUGGUUGGAGAGGUUGAGCACACUGGGCCGAGGACACACAAGUCCUCACCUUUUUCUCCUUGAGUUAAGUUCCUCGGAACUCGUCCAAUACUCAUGGUAGAUUUUGCGGUGAUCUUCGAUCCGGUGCAAACUUGUCCUUCAGUGAAUCCAAACUUUCGAUUCUUACAGAACUAUGCCUAACCGUCUAGAGGACGCCAAGUUCUCAAGAGUAAUAGAUCACGAGCUAGGAUCGAGCUGAUUCUUCAGUGAUGCUCAGUCACUUUCUGUUCUUCGCCUUGGGUGGUUUUCCUCACUUAGGAUUGGUUCACAUCUCUGCGAGGAAGGACACUCUUUGCAGACGUAGCAAAAUAUCACUCGAGCAACCACCCGUUAUCUACAGGGGCAAGGGCUAUAUAUAGCUGGCACACUGCCCCUGAGUACCGAUAUGACUAUUGGAUGAGACACACUCACCAACGCGCUACUCAUCAGUGAGGAAAGUAACUCGGGCGACUUGGAAGAAUUAACUUCAUCACGGGACCUAGUAGGCUCGCUUGGAAGGAGAUUUCCAAUUAAGUCUUCACUCACAAGUGUAUAUAGGUUCAGACUAAGCACACACAUGAAGACUUUUAGUCUUGCUUCACUUUGAUCCCCCUUAAUAGUAUAGUUUGUCCUACGACUCAAUGAAGAAUUAAAUAAACUAGUAAGUAACAAUCGCUCUUCGGUCUUCAAUUUUUCAAUGGCAUUCCCGAAGACUUCAAUGAUCCGUCAACUUUUGUAAUGGUUGUAAUCCUUUGGUUAAACUAAAUCAUCAAGGAUUUUCACUUGUGCAUAUUUAACAUACAUAUUAGUCCCUUAAAUGUUUUGUCAUUAAUCAUCAAAAUCUACCAGGGGUAGUAGAUGCACUUACAACUAGCUUCUGGGAUGUGUUAAGAAAUUGGCCUAUAACUUCCAAGAGCUUAGAAAGUUGCGGGGCCAUAUCUAGAACCUAUCCCCCAAAUCCGGCAGUCCAAACUCUAUAGUAGAUGUUCCGCGAUAGCUUCCGGGUGGUCGAAGUUAACCCUAACAGACAUAUUUCAAAGUGGGCUAUAUAAAGGUCCACUCAUUCUUCCCCAAGUGUUUUCUUCUUUUCCUACUCGUGUUGAGCAUAUUUCUCUCUCAUACUCCAUUUCACAGGCUCUGAGCCUUGAAUCCUUUCACAUCCAUUCUUUAAGGAAAAAAUAGAGAGGAGCCCCGAUCUACUUUCUCACCAAAGGAAAUUGAGUUCCCUUUUGAUUUCAUCAUUUGGCUUUACUCUUGAAGGUCAAAGACUUCUAGGUGGUAGGAGUCUCCGGUGAAGGAAUCAAAUUGUGUGUGACGGUUUGGAUCUCUCCUCAAGGUCUACCCACUAGUGGUUAAGAAUCUCCUCUAUGGUGAUGUCUCAAGGAAAAAGGUGAGCCUUUGUGGCGUUUCUUGUUCCUUUAUGGAACUCCCGCCUCUCCAUUUGUGACUAGCUCCCUUCCAAGGGAGGGAACACUAGGAUACAUCCUCGUGUUGGGGAACAUAGUAAUUUCAAAAAAAUUCCUACGCACACGCAAGAUCAUGAUGAUGCAUAGCAACGAGAGGGGAAAGUGUUGUCCACGUACCCUCAUAGACCAAAAGCGGAAGCGUUAGCACAAUGCGGUUGAUGUAGUCAUACAUCUUCACGAUCCGACCGAUCAAGUACCGAACGUACGACACCUCCGAGUUCAGCACACGUUCAGUCCGAUGACGCCCCUCGAACUCCGAUCCAGCCAAGUGUUGAGGGAGAGUUUCGUCAGCACGACGGCGUGGUGACGAUGUUGAUAUUCUAUCGACGCAAGGCUUCGCCUAAGCACCGCUACAGUAUUAUCGAGGUGGACUAUGGUGGAGGGGGGCACCGCACACGGCUAAAAGAUCAACUUGAUCAAUUGUUGUGUCUAUGGGGUGCCCCCUGCCCCCGUAUAUAAAGGAGAAAGGGGGUGCGGCCGGCCAGGGAGAGGGCGCUCCAGGAGGAGUCCUACUCCCACCGGGAGUAGGACUCCCCCCCCCCUUUCCUAGUUGGAAUAGGAUUCGGGAGGGGGAAAGAGGAGGGAGAGAAGGAAAGGGGGCGCCGCCCCCCUCUCCUUGUCCUAUUCGGACUAGGGGGGAGAGGCGCGCGGCCCAGCCCUGGCCGCCUCUCCUCUUCUCCGUAAAGGCCCACUAAGGCCCAUUUACCUCCCGGGGGGUUCCGAUAACCUCCCGGUACUCCGGUAAAAUCCCGAUUUCACCCGGAACACUUCUGAUAUCCAAACAUAGGCUUCCAAUAUAUCAAUCUUCAUGUCUCGACCAUUUCGAGACUCCUCGUCAUGUCCGUGGUCACAUCUGGGACUCCGAACAACCUUCGGUACAUCAAAACAUAUAAAAUCAUAAUAUAAUUGUCAUCGUAACGUUAAGUGUGCGGACCCUACGAGUUCGAGAACCAUGUAGACAUGACCGAGACACGUCUCCGGUCAAUAACCAAUAGCGGAACCUGGAUGCUCAUAUUGGCUCCUACAUAUUCUACGAAGAUCUUUAUCGGUCAAACCGCAUAACAACAUACGUUGUUCCCUUUGUCAUCGGUAUGUUACUUGCCCGAGAUUCGAUCGUCGGUAUCUCAAUACCUAGUUCAAUCUCGUUACCGGCAAGUCUCUUUACUCGUUCUGUAAUACAUCAUCCCGCAACUAACUCAUUAGUUGCAAUGCUUGCAAGGCUUAAGUGAUGUGCAUUACCGGGAGGGCCCAGAGAUACCUCUCCGACAAUCGGAGUGACAAAUCCUAGUCUCGAAAUACGCCAACCCAACAAGUACCUUUGGAGACACCUGUAGAGCACCUUUAUAAUCACCCAGUUACGUUGUGAUGUUUGGUAGCACACAAAGUGUUCCUCCAGUAAAUGGGAGUUGCAUAAUCUCAUAGUCAUAGGAACAUGUAUAAGUCAUGAAGAAAGCAAUAGCAACAUACUAAACGAUCGGGUGCUAAGCUAACGGAAUGGGUCAUGUCAAUCACAUCAUUCUCCUAAUGAUGUGACCCCGUUAAUCAAAUGACAACUCAUGUCUAUGGUUAGGAAACAUAACCAUCUUUGAUCAACGAGCUAGUCAAGUAGAGGCAUACUAGUGACAAUCCGUUUGUCUAUGUAUUUACACAUGUAUUAUGUUUCUGGUUAAUACAAUUCUAGCAUGAAUAAUAAACAUUUAUCAUGAUAUAAGGAAAUAAAUAUCAACUUUAUUAUUGCCUCUAGGGCAUAUUUCCUUCAGUCUCCCACUUGCACUAGAGUCAAUAAUCUAGAUUACACAGUAAUGAUUCUAACACCCAUGGAGCCUGGGUGCUGAUCAUGUUUUGCUUGUGGAAGAGGCUUAGUCAAUGGGUCUGCAACAUUCAGAUCCAUAUGUAUCUAGCAAAUUUCUAUGUCUCCCACCUAGACUAAAUCCCGAAUGGAAUUGAAGCAUCUCUUGAUGUGCUUGGUUCUCUUGUGAAAUCCGGAUUCCUUUGCCAAGGCAAUUGCACCAGUAUUGUCACAAAAUAUUUUUAUUGGACCCGAUGCACUAGGUAUGACACCUAGAUCGGAUAUGAACUCCUUCAUCUAGACUCAUUCACUUGCUGCUUCCGAAGCAACUAUGUACUCCGCUUCACAUGUAGAUCCCGCCACAACGCUUUGUUUAGAACUGCACCAACUGACAGCUCCACCGUUCAAUGUAAACACGUAUCCAGUUUGCGAUUUAGAAUCGUCCGGAUCAGUGCCAAAGCUUGCAUCAAUGUAACCGUUUACGAUGAGCUCUUUUUCACCUCCAUAUACGAGAAACAUAUCCUUAGUCCUUUUCAGGUAUUUCAGGAUCUUCUUGACCGCUGUCCAGUGAUCCACUCCUGGAUUACUUUGGUACGUCCCUGCUAGACUUAUAGCAAGGCACACAUCAGGUCUGGUACACAGCAUUGCAUACAUGAUAGAGCCUAUGACUGAAGCAUAGGGAACAUCUUUCAUUUUCUCUCUAUCUUCUGCAGUGGUCGGGCAUUGAGUCUUACUCAACUUCACACCUUGUAACACAGGCAAGAACCCUUUCUUUGAUUGAUCCAUUUUGAACUUCUUCAAAACUUUGUCAAGGUAUGUGCUUUGUGAAAGUCCAAUUAAACGUCUUGAUCUAUCUCUAUAGAUCUUGAUGCCCAAUAUAUAAGCAACUUCACCGAGGUCUUUCAUUGAAAAACUCUUAUUCAAGUAUCCCUUUAUGCUAUCCAGAAAUUCUAUAUCAUUUCCAAACAACAAUAUGUCAUCCAUAUAUAAUAUUAGAAAUGCUACAGAGCUCCCACUCACAUUUUUGUAAAUACAUGCUUCUCCAAAAGUCUGUACAAAACCAAAUGCUUUGAUCACACUAUCAAAGCGUUUAUUCCAACUCCGAGAGGCUUGCACCAGUCCAUAAAUGGAUCGCUGGAGCUUGCACACUUUGUUAGCUCCCUUUGGAUCGACAAAACCUUCCGGUUGCAUCAUAUACAACUCUUCUUCCAGAAAUCCAUUCAGGAAUGCAGUUUUGACAUCCAUUUGCCAAAUUUCAUAAUCAUAAAAUAUGGAAAUUGCUAACAUGAUUCGGACAGACUUAAGCAUCGCUACGGGUGAGAAAGUGUCAUCGUAGUCAAUCCCUUGAACUUGUCGAAAACCUUUGAAAGGACAUGCGGUGCCCCCAUGUGUGGUUUUGGUAAUUGAUGACAAUCUCUAUGGACUAACGGUUGCCUUGAGUUAUAUAUGAAGGAUUUGUCCAUAGGAUUGUCUUGAAGUCCAUGUGUUGGUUUCAAGGAGUUUAUGAGAUGGCCAAAGUGCUUUUCAAGGAAUUAUCCAAAGAUUGGUCAUGUGUGAGUUGAGCUUAUUGCAAGCAUAUCUUGAAGAAGAAGAUUGUGUGAUCAUUCAUGUUUACCUUCAAGACAUCAUCCAAAUGAAGAGAGUUGGAAAGAUUCAAUGUUGAUCAAGACUAAGUCAAGAGUGAAUCAAGUUGAUCAACUCACAAAGCAUAGAAGAAGUACCGAGAGGGAUCAAGUGAUCCCAUGGUAUGGUAAGCAUUGUCCAUUACGCUUUGUGUACUAACCCAUGGUCUACGUGAGAGUUCUUUGUGGGGUUAGGUAUGUUUCCAUGGUCUUGCGUCAAGAGGAAGAUCUCAUACAACCCAUGGAGGAUGACAUCAAGUGGUGAUCGUCAUCAAGUUUGCAGUGUGCAAGUUCAAGUGGAGAAACUCGAAGACUGGCUCACCCAUAAUGGCGUAUGGGGGAGCAAUCAAGCUUGAAGCUUGCCGUCCAUUGUGGUGUCAAUGGAAUUGUGAAUAUGUGCCAAAGAGUGGCUCACCCAUAGUGGAGUAUGGGGGAGCAAUCAACUAGUCUUCAUCGAGCCAACACAAUCAAGAAAGGUGGUCCAACUUGAGGAAGUCAAGAUCGUCAUCAUCUAGCUCAAGUGGACUAUGUGCAAGGCAAAGGUUUGCCCUUGAUAGGUUUUCUAUUUUACCGGUCUCAUAGUGGUAGUUGGGAGACCGGGUUGUAGGAUGGAUUGUCGUACUAUCAAGGGGGGCUCUCUAGGGAGUAGCUUGAUCGUAUCAUUCGUCGAGAGCUCAAACCAUUCCAUCCUUGCAUCAUCUUUCUUGGUUCUUGUUUGGUUCCAUUUGUGAGUCUUAGAGCUUAUGUUCAUCUUGAUGACAAGCUUGAGUUCAUUGAAAACGGAGUUCGCAUGCAUCUUCUAUGAUGUUUUCGGUGUUGGAGGUUUUGCCGGUCUUAUCCAAGGAAGGGUUCUCACCAUUUUAUUAUGGUCCUUUUCUCAUUUGCUUAUUAUUGAUAUUUCUCCCAAGAUUGUGUUAGCCUUUGUCGUUAGAUUUCCAACAAACUUGGUUUCGUUGAAUUCGGAGCUCAUAUGCGAAAGUUGUGGCUGUUUUGAUAUUGCAUGUUUUACACAGAGAGGUUGUACCACCCCAUGGAGAGGUUGUACCGCUUGACCGGUACAACCGGUGUUUGGAGCGGUUGUACCGCUCCAGAAUUGGUCCGGAGGUUGUACCGGUCAUGUACCGCUCUACCACCGGACUGGUCUCUGUUGUGGUGCGGUUGUUGGGCGGUUGUGGGCCGGUUGUACCGCUUAUUGCCUGUUACCGGUUGUACCGGUGCUCAUAGAGGUUGUACCGCUCCUAUGUUGUUCUGUACAUAACGGGCAGAUUCAUGGGGACCUAUUUAAGGGGGUCUUCUUCCCCAAUGGUUCCCUAUCUCUCGAGCUCAUUUUUGCCCCCAUUGUUGACCUUCUUUGAGCUUGCUAACUCUCAAUCCCUCCAUGGAUUCUUGCUAGUUUUUGAGGGAAAGAGAGAGGAGAUCUAGAUCCACAUUUCCACCAAUCACUUUCUCCUCUAUGUGAGGGGAACCCCUUGGAUCUAGAUCUUGGAGUUCUUGGUGUUCUCCUUCUUGUUCUUCCUCUCAUUUUCCUCCCUAGCAUUAGUUGCUCCGGUGCGAUUUGAGAGAGAAGGACUUGGGCACUCCGUGUGCCCUUGCCAUUGCAUUUGGUGCAUCGGUUUGAGUUCUCCACGGUGAUACGUGGAAGUGAAGUUUGAGAAGCUUAUUACUCUUGGGUGUUUGGGCACCCUAGAGCUUGUUCCUCUUGGGUGUCUUGGCGCCCUAGAUGGUUGGUGUUGUUCGGAGCUCAAUCAUUGUGGUGUAAAGCUCCGGGCAAGCAUCGGGGUCUCCAAUUAGGUUGUGGAGAUCGCCCCGAGCAAUUUGAUGGGUACCCGUGACCGCCCCCAAGGGUUGCCAAAGUGUACGGGUUCGGUGACCGCCCCCAAGGGUUGCCAUUUGUACGGGUUCGGUGACCGCCCUCAAGGGUCCCUUAGUGGAAUCACGACAUCUUGCAUUGUGCGAGGGCGUGAGGAGAUUAUGGUGGCCCUAGUGGCUUCUUGGGGAGCAUUGUGCCUCCACAGCGCUCCAAACGGAGAUUAGCAUCCGCAAGGGUGUGAACUUCGGGAUACAUCUCGUCUCCGCAUGCCUCGGUUAUCUCUUACCCAAGCUCUUUACUUAUGCACUUUACUUUGUGAUAGCCAUAUUGUUUCUUGUCAUAUAUCUUGCUAUCACAUAGUUGCUUAUCUUGCUUAGCAUAAGUUGUUGGUGCACAUAGGUGAGCCUAGUUGUUUUAGGUUUUGUGCUUGACAAAUUAACCGCUAGGUUUAUUCCGCAUUUGUUCUAGCCUAAAUCGUAAUUAUUUUAAAACGCCUAUUCACCCCCCUCUAGGCGACAUCCACGAUCUUUCAAUUGGUAUCAGAGCCUUGUCUCUCUUUAUUAGGCUUUACCGCCUAGAGAGUAAAGAUGUCGACUAGGGGAUUAGGAUUCUCUGACACUCUUAGUUUCGGUGGCACAAAUUUUGAUGUUUGGGUAAUUCGCAUGCUUAAUCUCUUUAGGGUCAUGGACCCAAAUUUAGAGCGAAUUGUAGAUAUGGGUUAUUCUCCUCCAAAGGAUCCCCAAAGAUUAUCUUUAGAGGAUGAGAAAAACUCUUAUCUCAAUGCUCAAGCUUCUAAUGUGCUUUUCGAUGCUUUGAGCAAUGUAGUUAUAUUUCAACUCAUGUCGUUCUGGGAUGCUCAUGAGUUGUGGAAAAAGCUUCAAGAAAAAUAUGGUGUGUCCAAGAUUUGUGGGGAUGAUUGUUCUCCCUCCACCUUCGGUCGUAUAGUCUUCUCAACUUCUUCUACUUCACCUACAUGUGGUUUGCCACAAGGUAAUGAUAUGGUGAGUAGUGUUGGUCAUUGCAAUGAUGAUAGUAUGCUUAUUGUGGAUGAUCCUUCAUCACUAUCUUAUUGCAAUGCUCCUUCUUUGGGCUUUAACACUUCGAGCACUCGAAAUGUUUCAUAUGCUUGUGUUCAUAGUCCUUGCAUAUCAUGUAGAAAUUGCUUUACUAAAUAUCAUGAUGAUAUGUUUACUAUGUCUUGUUGCCAUGAUAAAAAUGCAUAUAUUUCCUCGAAUUGUUGUGCUAACAAUGUAGAGGAAAUCCAACACCCCAUGGAACAAGAUGUGGUCUUGAAUGGUGCUUCAACGGAUCCUACAUCAUCAUCUAUUGCAUUUUGCCUUAUGGCCAAGGCUUCAAAGGUAUCUCCCACUUUGAAUCCCAAUAUAUCUUGUGAUGAUAUUGAUGAUGGCAAGAGUGAUGAUGAUGUUGAUUAUGAUGAAGAGAAUGAUGAUGUUGCCUCCUUAAAAAUUAAGGGGGAAAUGAUUUUUAAAGCUCUUCUUAAGAAUAAAAUUGCGCGUUCCAACUUCAUGGAAAUCAUGUCUAUUGCUAUUGAGGGCAAGAAAUAUAUUGAUGAGUUGGAAUCUCGUCUUGAGGAGCAUGAGGUCACCAUUGAUCAAAUGAAAGGUCAUGAGCGUGAUUACGCUAAUGAGAUUGCGGACCUCUCUCAAGCUCUUGAACUUGAACAAACCACCAAGGAAUCUCUUGAGGAGACUUUUGCUCUAGAAUUAUCUAGAGUGAGGGAAUCUCGUGAUAGAGCUCUUUAGGUGGCCAAUGAUUUUGAAACUAAAAAUGAGGAGCUUGAAGUUGUGCAUGCUAAACUCUUGAGGACUUUGAGCACCUCGAAAAUGGCUCAAGGGUCAUUAAGGGUGAGCUCAUCAAACUCACCGAGUCUCAUGCUCAACUUAAAGCUUCUUAUUCAAAAGAGCUUGCCAAGUUGUCUUCUCCUCUUGUUGCUAAUGAUGAUGCUUGUGCUACUAACUCUAUCUAUUGUGAAGCAUCCAUAAUGAAGGAGAAUGUUGAGCUUCGGGCUCAACUUGAGUUGCUAUCUAGCAAUUAUGGGAAAUUGGAAGAAAACCAUGAAAAGCUCUCAAGCUCUCAUGAUGAUCUUCUAGUAUCCCAUAAUGAGCUAAAGAUAUCUCAUGAGGCCAUGAUUUAUAAGGUAACAUCUAGUGAGCCUCAUGUGGAUACUAGCACUAAUUCUAGUCAAAAUGCUAUAUUGCCAUGUGUUAGUCCUUGUAAUUCAUCUACUCACAAUGUUGGUACAUCUUGUGAUGAAUUGCUUUCCUUGCCUUGUUGCUCUAACGAUGAAGCUUAUACUUCCUCUAGUACUUGUGUUGAGACUAACCAUGUAGAGGAAAUCAAAGAUCUCAAGGCCCAAGUCACUUCUUUGAAGAAAGACUUGGAAAAGAGUCAUGAAGGGAAAUCCACACUCAACAAUAUCUUGAGUGUGCAAAAAUCCCCCAAUGACAAAGGUGGACUUGGAUUCAACUCCAACAAGAAGAAGAAGUCCAAGGUGAACAAAAGGAAGGGCCAAGAACAAGUCAAGAAUUCGGCCAAGAUUGUUUGCUUCAAGUGCAAAGUAGAAGGGCAUCAUGUUAGAUCUUUCCCAUUGAAGAAGAAGCGCAUUAGUGACAAGCAACAAGGGAAGCAGCCACAAGUACACUCUCAUUCUCAACCUCAAGUUGAAGAAAAGCCUCUUCCCAAGAAGACUCAAGCUUAUGCUUCUCAAGUUGAGAAAUCAAGUGAGAAGAAAGUGAAGAGUACACGUUGCUACCUAUGUCGCGAGAAAGGUCACCUCGCCUCUUCAUGCACUAGUGGUAACUUAUCCAACCCAAUUAUUAUUGAUGAUGUCUAUUCUCUUGGGAAGGAUAAGGUUGGCAAUGUGGUUGCCAAGUUUGUUGGUACUCAAAGUGGUUUGAAGCAAAGAACCAUUUGGGUAGCCAAGCCUAUUGUGACUAACCUCUUAGGACCCAACUUGGUUGGGGACCAACAAGCUCAAACUUGAUCAAUAGGUGAUGUUGGAGGUCAUUGGAGACUUGGCUAUAUUAUGAAGAAUUAAGGGUACUUCAUCAUUCUUAUUGUCUCAAGCCAAGUCAAUUGAAUCAUCAAGAUUAUAUCUUAUAUCCAAUGUGCCUCCUUGCGGUAACUUGUACCUCAACUGCUUACAUUGAAAGUUACUUGCCCCCUUGCAUGUUUUGGUUUUGUUCCUUGCAUGUGUUUGUAUAUGUUGUGCUUCCAACUUGAUUAUCUUGAUCAAUCAAGUAUGUGUGUGUUGGUUUGCACAUCAUGUACGUGUGUGUCAUGCGUUGAGCCUUUUGCAUCUUGUUUAUUUCUUAGUUGGCUCUUGUGAGAGAUUAAUGGAAUAUCCCAUUAUGGGGGAGUGAUGUGCUUUGUGCACUUCACAAUCCUAUAAAGGUGGGUACAUGGGGAAUAUCACUUAGUAUUGAUAUUGCAAGCUUAUCUAGUCACUAUGUGGUAUGUCUUCUCAUGAGAUAUUCAAAUUCUAAAUAGUCCAUUAAUUAUCUCUUGUUGGAUCCUUUAAUUGCCUCUUGUCUAUCUUUAAUUGGUAUCACAUUAUGGGGGAUUAAUAUGCUAUGAGUGUAUUACUAGCCUAGAAAAUGUGUACAUUUGAGAUAUUGCCAUCUAGAGUUGAUAUUGUAAAUUAUCUUGUUCCUAGGUGGCAUGUUAGCUCUACAAGUUGCAAUUUGCUUUUUGUUUGGUGUGAAGAUGAUGUCGGAUAUCCUUGCUAUCUACCACCGGGAAUUAUUUCCAAAUACUUCUUGUCUUUUGACAAUUGGUACUCACUUGUGUGGUAGAUAUUAUUGAUCAUCUUUACAUUAGCCUUUGCUUUUAUUUGCCUUAUCUCUUGCCUAGGAUUGUGUCAACUCCCAUUGUAUUCCAUACCACUUGUGGAUCUUUUUAUUUCCUUGAGCUUGUCUAGUGUUUGUAUAGAUAUAGUGAAAGUGGUGAUCCCAUCUUGUGCUUUUUGUAUUCAAAUGCAAAUUCUCCAUAUUACACAAUGCUUGGGGAGCUAUCCUAUUUUUCUUAUAACACUCACCUUGUGAUCCUUUUCAAGUGUGUGUUGGUGGAAUGCAAAUCGUUUCUUUUGGUACUUGUGACAUCAUGAAACUUUGUAGAGCACUUGGUUUGUUUGGAACCAUUCUCUCUUUUGGGAGUUUGACAUCUUUCUUUUUGUGUAUCAAUGGAUAUCUCAUUCCUUGAUGUGUCGUUUAAUGAUAUCCUCCAAGUGAUGAUUUAUUCAUUUGGUAUCCUUUCUUCACUUGGUAUUUCUUUUUCUUUUGGUAUCGGUUCUUGAAAGUCUUGAGCAUGCAUAUUAACUUCGUGUAGUAUCUUUGGCAUGCUUUCUUUGUUUGACCCGAUAUAUAGGGGAAACUCCACCAAGUCUCAAAUUGGAUGAGAUGUGCAUGAAAUUCAAUUUUGUAUCUAUAUGCACAUUUUUAUGUGGAGUUUGUCUUAUGUAUUGUUGGCUCUCUAACUCUUUGGUCCCAAUGAGUUUGGGUAUCAUUUUGUUUGAGUUGUUGUUCUAGGAACAAUUGGAGAUACAUUGGAUGCUCGGCUCACUCACAAGGAAGGUGUUGUCAUCAUGUGCUUAUUGGAGUCGAGCUAGGAUGAUCAAUGAACUACUAUCUACCUUCAAUUGGUAUCUACUACAUCCUUCCAAUGAUAUCUCGGUAACAAGUAUCUAUUCAUGCAUUAUUUUCUUGCAUUCAACCUUGUGUAGGUUGCAUCUUGGCAUGCUAUUCAUUCUUUCUUGUGAUACUUGUUUCCUUUCUCAAAGCAUCCCAACAAUGAUCUCUUGUUGCUAGUUGUGAUGUCUUUGAUGUUCAUGUGGUUGGAAUUCAUUUAUAUACAAUAAGAUCACAUCUAGCCAUGUGCUAUGCUCUCAAGCAAAUUUCUUAUUGGUAUAUUUAUGACUUCAUUGUGGAUAUCUUGUUCUUUCCUGUUUGUAACUAUGUCGUGUGUAUAUCCUUCUUUGUGGAUUGAUAUCAUCAUGAUUUUCAUCCACCUAGAAUCUUAUACACUUGAGAGGAGUUACAUAUGUAGUUGAUAUCCUUAUUCUUUCAUGUCCACCUUUCCUUGGUGGUUAUGUGAAAGGAUUUAUCUUGAGUGUGGAUCUUAUAUCUUUGCAUCUUGUUGCACUCUUGUGUGGUGAAGAUUAUUUUCCUCAUGCUUGUAUUUACGAGGCUUUUGCCAUCUUAAUUGGUAUCCCUCAUCUUGAUGAGGCUUUCAUCUUCUAUCUUCACCACGGGUUGUCACAAGCAUAUGUUCUUUAUAUGCUUAUUAGUAAGCUUGUGAAACCAUUUGUAGUUGUGUGUGGGAAUGAUAGGCCUUGCACCGUGUGCCUCAUUCUUUCAAGACUUUAUUGAUGCUUAAUGCUCAUUCGUACUUUAGUCUUCUCAAGUGUUUUGCCUUGACUCACACACAUCAUUUUGGUUGAGCCCUUUCUUAAGUUGCCUCUUUUACUUGUUGCUCAACCAUGUGUUUGUUGCAAGUACUAGGUUUUGUUUCCUUUCCUAUAUUCUCACUUACACUUGUUGUAAGUUUCUAUUGAUUUUGGGGGAGCUAUGAUCCUAUUUUGUGCACUUUGUAUCCAAAUACAAAAAUUCUUGAUGUGCACAAAUCAUGGGGAGCUUCUCUAGUUUCUUUAGAACACUGCUCCGCUCUUAUCAUAAUAUCCUUUAUUCAUGUGGCUCGUAGGAUCAUUGGCCUAGUUGGUUCAAUUGGUAUCUUUUGAUAGCUUGCUUCAAUUGGUAUCUUUUGAUUGCUUGACUGCUUGUUUCUCUCUUUGAUUAUAUCUUUGUGGCAUAUCUUCCUUUUGCAAUCUUUGGGCCUCAAUAUAGUUUGUCUUCCUCCAAGUAUUUACCGUUGGAUAUGUGUAUUGCAUAAAUGCACAAUUUAUGGAGGAACACAUUUUAUAUUGGCCUUCUAAGCUUUUAGCCAAUUUUGGCAAUCGAUGCCAAUGGGGGAGAAGUUUCAGAGAGUGUUGUGGAGAAGUUUAGAGAGUUGUCUCUUCUGGCUUUGGUUUGUUCCUAAGCAUACACAUCUCCUACGCAUGUUGGUUGUUGCAUUGCAUGGUGAUGCAUAAUGUUGGCUGUUGCAUUGCAUGGUGAUGCAUAAUUCCUUAUAUAAACUCUCUUGAAAGUGAUUGUCAUCAAUUAACAAAAUGGGGGAGAUUGAAAGGACAUGCGGUGCCCCCAUGCGUGGUUUUGGUAAUUGAUGACAAUCUCUAUGGACUAACGGUUGCCUUGAGUUAUAUUUGAAGGAUUUGUCCAUAGGAUUGUCUUAAAGUCCAUGUGUUGGUUUCAAGGAGUUUAUGAGAUGGCCAAAGUGCUUUUCAAGGAAUUAUCCAAAGAUUGGUCAUGUGUGAGUUGAGCUUAUUGCAAGCAUAUCUUGAAGAAGAAGAUUGUGUGAUCAUUCAUGUUUACCUUCAAGACAUCAUCCAAAUGAAGAGAGUUGGAAAGAUUCAAUGUUGAUCAAGACUAAGUCAAGAGUGAAUCAAGUUGAUCAACUCACAAAGCAUAGAAGAAGUACCGAGAGGGAUCAAGUGAUCCCAUGGUAUGGUAAGCAUUGUCCAUUACGCUUUGUGUACUAACCCAUGGUCUACGUGAGAGUUCUUUGUGGGGUUAGGUAUGUUUCCAUGGUCUUGCGUCAAGAGGAAGAUCUCAUACAACCCAUGGAGGAUGACAUCAAGUGGUGAUCGUCAUCAAGUUUGCAGUGUGCAAGUUCAAGUGAAGCAACGCGAAGACUGGCUCACCCACAAUGGAGUAUGGGGGAGCAAUCAAGCUUGAAGCUUGCCGUCCAUUGUGGUGUCAAUGGAAUUGUGAAUAUGUGCCAAAGAGUGGCUCACCCAUAGUGGAGUAUGGGGGAGCAAUCAACUAGUCUUCAUCGAGCCAACACAAUCAAGAAAGGUGGUCCAACUUGAGGAAGUCAAGAUCGUCAUCAUCUAGCUCAAGUGGACUAUGUGCAAGGCAAAGGUUUGCCCUUGAUAGGUUUUCUAUUUUACCGGUCUCAUAGUGGUAGUUGGGAGACCGGGUUGUAGGAUCGAUUGCCGUACUAUCAAGGGGGGCUCUCUAGGGAGUAGCUUGAUCGUAUCAUUUGUCGAGAGCUCAAACCAUUCCAUCCUUGCAUCAUCUUUCUUUGUUCUUGUUUGGUUCCAUUGGUGAGUCUUAGAGCUUAUGGUCAUCUUGAUGACAAGCUUGAGUUCAUCAAAAACGGAGUUCGCGUGCAUCUUCUAUGAUGUUUUCGGUGUUGAAGGUUUUGCCGGUCUUAUCCGAGGAAGGGUUCUCACCAUUUUAUUAUGGUCCUUUUCUCAUUUGCUUCUUAUUGAUAUUUCUCCCAAGAUUGUGUUAGCCUUUAUCGUUAGCUUUCCAACAAACUUGGUUUCGUUGAAUUCGGAGCUCAUAUGCGAAAGUUGUGGUUGUUCUGAUAUUGCAUGUUUUACACAGAGAGGUUGUACCGCCCCAUGGAGAGGUUGUACCGCUUGACCGGUACAACCGGUGUUUGGUCCGGAGGUUGUAUCGGUCAUGUACCGCUCUACCACCGGACUGGUCUCUGUUAUGGUGCGGUUGUUGGGCGGUUGUGGGCCGGUUGUACCGCUUAUUGCCUGUUACCGGUUGUACCGGUGCUCAUAGAGGUUGUACCGCUCCUAUGUUGUUCUGUACAUAACGGGCAGAUUCAUGGGGACCUAUUUAAGGGGGUCUUCUUCCCCAAUGGUUCCCUAUCUCUCGAGCUCGUUUUUGCCCCCAUUGUUGACCUUCUUUGAGCUUGCUAACUCUCAAUCCCUCCAUGGAUUCUUGCUAGUUUUUGAGGGAAAGAGAGAGGAGAUCUAGAUCCACAUUUCCACAAAUCACUUUAUCCUCUAUGUGAGGGGAACCCCUUGGAUCUAGAUCUUGGAGUUCUUGGUGUUCUCCUUCUUGUUCUUCCUCUCAUUUUCCUCCCUAGCAUUAGUUGCUCCGGUGCGAUUUGAGAGAGAAGGACUUGGGCACUCCGUGUGCCCUUGCCAUUGCAUUUGGUGCAUCGGUUUGAGUUCUCCACGAUGAUACGUGGAAGUGAAGUUUGAGAAGCUUAUUACUCUUGGGUGUUUGGGCACCCUAGAACUUGUUCCUCUUGGGUGUCUUGGCGCCCUAGAUGGUUGGUGUUGUUCGGAGCUCAAUCAUUGUGGUGUAAAGCUCCGGGCAAGCAUCGGGGUCUCCAAUUAGGUUGUGGAGAUCGCCCCGAGCAAUUUGACGGGUAUCGGUGACCGCCCCAAGGGUUGCCAAAGUGUACGGGUUCGGUGACCGCCCCCAAGGGUUGCCAUUUGUACGGGUUCGGUGACCGCCCUCAAGGGUCCCUUAGUGGAAUCACGACAUCUUGCAUUGUGCGAGGGCGUGAGGAGAUUAUGGUGGCCCUAGUGGCUUCUUGGGGAGCAUUGUGCCUCCACAGCGCUCCAAACGGAGAUUAGCAUCCGCAAGGGUGUGAACUUCGGGAUACAUCAUCGUCUCCGCGUGCCUCGGUUAUCUCUUACCCAAGCUCUUUACUUAUGCACUUUACUUUGUGAUAGCCAUAUUGUUUCUUGUCAUAUAUCUUGCUAUCACAUAGUUGCUUAUCUUGCUUAGCAUAAGUUGUUGGUGCACAUAGGUGAGCCUAGUUGUUUUAGGUUUUGUGCUUGACAAAUUAACCGCUAGGUUUAUUCCACAUUUGUUCUAGCCUAAAUCGUAAUUAUUUUAAAACGCCUAUUCACCCCCCCUCUAGGCGACAUCCACGAUCUUUCAACCUUUCGCAACAAGUCGAGCUUUGUAGACAGUAACAUUACCGUUAGCGUCAGUCUUCUUCUUAAAGAUCCAUUUAUUCUCAAUUGCUUGCCGAUCAUUGGGCAAGUCAACCAAAGUCCAUACUUUGUUCUCAUACAUGGAUCCCAUCUCAGAUUUCAUGGCCUCAAGCCAUUUUGCGGAAUCUGGGCUCACCGUCGCUUUUUCAUAGUUGGUAGGUUCAUCAUGAUCUAAUAGCAUGACUUCCAGAACAGGAUUACCGUACCACUCUGGUGCGGAUCUUACUCUGGUUGAUCUACGAGGUUUAGUAGUAACUUGAUCUGAAGUUCCAUGAUCAUCAUCAUUAACUUCCUCACUAAUUGGUGUAGGCGUCAUAGAAACCGGUUUCUGUGAUGAACUACUUUCCAAAAGAGGAGCAGGUACAGUCACCUCAUCAAGUUCCACUUUCCUCCCACUCACUUCUUUCAAGAGAAACUCCUUCUCUAGAAAGGAUCAAUUCUUAGCAACGAAUGUCUUGCCUUCGGAUCUGUGAUAGAAGGUGUACCCAACAGUUUCCUUUGUGUAUCCUAUGAAGACACAUUUCUCCGAUUUGGGUUCGAGCUUAUCAGGUUUAAGCUUUUUCACAUAAGCAUCGCAACCCUGAACUUUCAGAAACGACAACUUUGGUUUCUUGCCAAACCACAGUUCAUAAGGCGCCGUCUCAACGGAUUUCGAUGGUGCCCUAUUUAAUGUGAAUGCGGCCGUCUCUAAAGCAUGAGCCCAAAAUGAUAGCGGUAAAUCUGUAAGAGACAUCAUAGAUCGCACCAUAUCUAGUAAAGUACGAUUACGACGUUCGGACGCACCAUUACGCUGUGGUGUUCCGGGUGGCGUGAGUUGCGAAACUAUUCCGCAUUGUUUCAAAUGUAGACCAAACUCGUAACUCAAAUAUUCUCCUCCAUGAUCAGAUCGUAGAAACUUUAUUUUCUUGUUACGAUGAUUUUCAACUUCACUCUGAAAUUCUUUGAACUUUUAAAAUGUUUCAGACUUAUGUUUCAUUAAGUAGAUAUACCCAUAUCUGCUUAAAUCAUCUGUGAAGGUGAGAAAAUAACGAUAUCCGCCACGAGCCUCCACAUUCAUCAGACCACAUACAUCUGUAUGUAUGAUUUCCAACAAAUCUGUUGCUCUCUCCAUAGUUCCGGAGAACGGCGUUUUAGUCAUCUUGCCCAUGAGGCACGGUUCGCGAGUACCAAGUGAUUCAUAAUCAAGUGGUUCCAAAAGUCCAUCAAUAUGGAGUUUCUUCAUGCGCUUUACACCGAUAUGACCUAAACGGCAGUGCCACAAAUAAGUUGCACUAUCAUUAUCAACUCUGCAUCUUUUGGCUUCAACAUUAUGAAUAUGUGUAUCACUACUAUCGAGAUUCAUCAAAAACAGACCACUCUUUAAGGGUGCAUGACCAUAAAAGAUAUUACUCAUAUAAAUAGAGCAACCAUUAUUCUCUGAUUUAAAUGAAUAACUGUCUCGCAUCAAACAAGAUCCAGAUAUAAUGUUCAUGCUCAACGCUGGCACCAAACAACAAUCAUUUAGGUCUAAUACUAAUCCCGAAGGUAGAUGUAGAGGUAGCGUGCCGACCGCGAUCACAUCGACUUUGGAACCAUUUCCCACGCGCAUCGUCAUCUCGUCCUUUGCCAGUGUUUGCUUAAUCCGUAGUCCCUGUUUCGAGUUGCAAAUAUUAGCAACAGAACCAGUAUCAAAUACCCAGGUGCUACUACGAGCUCUAGUAAGGUACACAUCAAUAACAUGUAUAUCACAUAUACCUUUGUUCAAUUUGCCAUCCUUCUUAUCCGCCAAAUACUUGGGGCAGUUCCGCUUCCAGUGACCAAUCUGCUUGCAGUAGAAGCACUCAGUCUCAGGCUUAGGUCCAGACUUGGGUUUCUUCUCCUGAGCAGCAACUUGCUUGCUGUUCUUCUUGAAGUUCCCCUUCUUCUUUCCUUUGCCCUUCUUGAAACUGGUGGUCUUACUGACCAUCAACACUUGAUGCUCCUUCUUGAUUUCUACCUCCGCUGCCUUUAGCAUUGCGGAGAGCUCGGGAAUUGUCUUAUCCAUCCCUUGCAUAUUAUAGUUCAUCACGAAACUCUUGUAGCUUGGUGGCAGUGAUUGAAGAACUCUGUCAAUGACACUAUCAACCGGAAGAUUAACUCCCAGCUGAGUCAAGUGAUUAUGAUACCCAGACAUUCUGAGUAUAUGUUCACUGAUAGAACUAUUCUCCUCCAUCUUGCAACUGUAGAACUUUAUUGGAGACUUCAUAUCUCUCAAUCCGGGAAUUUGCUUGAAAUAUUAACUUAAACUCCUGGAACAUCUCAUAUGCUCCAUGACGUUCAAAACGUCGUUGAAGUCCCGGUUCUAAGCCGUAAAGCAUGGCACAUUGAACUAUCGAGUAGUCAUCAGCUUUGCUCUGCCAGACGUUCUUAACGUCGUCAGUUGCAUCAGCAGCAGGCCUGGCACUCAGCGGUGCUUCCAGUACGUAAUUCUUCUAGGCAGCAAUGAGGAUAAUCCUCAAGUUACGGACCCAGUCCGUGUAAUUGCUACCAUCAUCUUUCAACUUUGCUUUCUCAAGGAACGCAUUAAAAUUCAACGGAACAACAGCACGGGCCAUCUAUCUACAAUCAAAAAUAGACAAGCAAGAUACUAUCAGGUACUAAGUUCAUGAUAAAUUUAAGUUCAAUUAAUCAUAUUACUUAAGUACUCCCACUUAGAAAGACAUCCCUCUAAUCUUCUAAGUGAUCACGUGAUCCAAAUCAACUAAACCAUAACCGAUCAUCACGUAAAAUGGAGUAGUUUUCAAUGGUGAACAUCACUAUGUUGAUCAUAUCUACUAUAUGAUUCACGCUCGACCUUUCGGUCUCAGUGUUCCGAGGCCAUAUCUGCAUAUGCUAGGCUCGUCAAGUUUAACCUGAGUAUUCUGCGUGUGCAAAACUGGCUUGCACCAAUUGUAGAUGGACGUAGAGCUUAUCACACCCGAUCAUCAUGUGGUGUCUGGGCACGACGAACUUUGGCAACGGUGCAUACUCAGGGAGAACACUUUUUAUCUUGAAAUUUAGUGAGAGAUCAUCUUAUAAUGCUACCGUCAAUCAAAGCAAGAUAAGAUGCAUAAAAGAUAAACAUCACAUGCAAUCAAUAUAAGUGAUAUGAUAUGGCCAUCAUCAUCUUGUGCUUGUGAUCUCCAUCUCUGAAGCACCGUCAUGAUCACCAUCGUCACCGACGCGACACCUUGAUCUCCAUCGUAGCAUCGUUGUCAUCUCGCCAAACUUAUGCUUCCACGACUAUCGCUACCAUUUAGUGAUAAAGUAAAGCAUUACAGGGCGAUUGCAUUGCAUACAAUAAAGUGACAACCAUAUGGCUCCUGCCAGUUGCUGAUAACUCUGUUACAAAACAUGAUCAUCUCAUACAAUAAAAUUUAGCAUCAUGUCUUGACCAUAUCACAUCACAACAUGCCCUGCAAAAACAAGUUAGACGUCCUCUACUUUGUUGUUGCAAGUUUUACGUGGCUGCUAUGGGCUUUAGCAAGAACCGUUCUUACCUACGCAUCAAAACCACAACGAUAGUUUGUCAAGUUGGUGCUGUUUUAACCUUCGAAAGGACCGGGCGUAGCCACACUUGGUUCAACUAAAGUUGGAGAAACUGACACCCGCCAGCCACCUUUGUGCAAAGCACGUCGGUAGAACCAGUCUCGUGUAAGCGUACGCGUAAUGUCGGUCCGGACCGCUUCAUCCAACAAUACCGCCGAACCAAAGUAUGACAUGCUGGUAAGCAGUAUGACUUAUAUCGCCCACAACUCACUUGUGUUCUACUCGUGCAUAAGACAUCUACGCAUAAAACCUGGCUCAGAUGCCACUGUUGGGGAACGUAGUAAUUUCAAAAAAAUUCCUACGCACACGCAAGAUCAUGGUGAUGCACAGCAACGAGAGGGGAGAGUGUUCUCCACGUACCCUCGUAGACCAAAAGCGGAAGCGUUAGCACAACGCGGUUGAUGUAGUCGUACGUCUUCACGAUCCGACCGAUCAAGUACCGAACGUACGGCACCUCCGAUUUCAGCACACGUUCAGUCCGAUGACGUCCCUCGAACUCCGAUCCAGCCGAGUGUUGAGGGAAAGUUUUGUCAGCACGACAGCGUGGUGACGAUGUUGAUGUUCUACCGACGCAGGGCUUCGCCUAAGCACCGCUAUAGUAUUAUCGAGGUGGACUAUGGUGGAGGGGGCACUGCACACGGCUAAAAGAUCAACUUGAUCAAUUGUUGUGUCUAUGGGGUGCCCCCUGCCUCUGUAUAUAAAGGAGAAAGGGGGGUGCGGCCGGCCAGGGAGAGGGCGCGCCAGGAGGAGUCCUACUCCCACCGGGAGUAGGACUCCCCCCCUUUUCCUAGUUGGAAUAGGAUUCGGGAGGGGGAAAGAGGAGGGAGAGAAGGAAAGGGGGGCGCCGCCCCCCUCUCCUUGUCCUAUUCGGACUAGGGGGAGGGGCGCGCGGCCCAGCCCUGGCCGCCUCUCCUCUUCUCCGUAAAGGCCCACUAAGGCCCAUUUACCUCCCGGGGGGUUCCGGUAACCUCCCGGUACUCCGGUAAAAUCUCGAUUUCACGCGGAACACUUCCGAUAUCCAAACAUAGGCUUCCAAUAUAUCAAUCUUCAUGUCUCGACCAUUUCGAGACUCCUCGUCAUGUCCGUGAUCACAUCUGGGACUCCGAACUACCUUCAGUACAUCAAAACAUAUAAACUCAUAAUAUAAAUGUCAUCGUAACGUUAAGCGUGCGGACCCUACGGGUUCGAGAACCAUGUAGACAUGACCGAGACACGUCUCCGGUCAAUAACCAAUAGCGGAACCUGGAUGCUCAUAUUGGCUCCUACAUAUUCUACGAAGAUCUUUAUCGGUCAAACCGCAUAACAACAUACGUUGUUCCCUUUAUCAUCGGUAUGUUACUUGCCCGAGAUUCGAUCGUCGGUAUCUCAAUACCUAGUUCAAUCUCGUUACCGGCGAGUCUCUUUACUCGUUCUGUAAUACAUCAUCCCGCAACUAACUCAUUAGUUGCAAUGCUUGCAAGGCUUAAGUGAUGUGCAUUACCGAGAGGGCCCAGAGAUACCUCUCCGACAAUCAGAGUGAGAAAUCCUAAUCUCGAAAUACGCCAACCCAACAAAUACCUUUGGAGACACCUGUAGAGCACCUUUAUAAUCACCCCAGUUAUGUUUUGACGUUUGGUAGCACACAAAGUGUUCCUCCGGUAAACGGGGGUUGCAUAAUCGCAUAGUCAUAGGAACAUGUAUAAGUCAUGAAGAAAGCAAUAGCAACAUACUAAACGAUCGGGUGCUAAGCUAACGGAAUGGGUCAUGUCAAUCACAUCAUUCUCCUAAUGAUGUGACCCUGUUAAUCAAAUGACAACUCAUGUAUAUGGUUAGGAAACAUAACCAUCUUUGAUCAACGAGCUAGUCAAGUAGAGGCAUACUAGUGACAAUCUGUUUGUCUAUGUAUUCACACAUGUAUUAUGUUUCCGGUUAAUACAAUUCUAGCAUGAAUAAUAAACAUUUAUCAUGAUAUAAGGAAAUAACUAAUAACUUUAUUAUUGCCUCUAGGGCAUAUUUCCUUCACUUCGUCUUUGUGGUCUUUGAUUAACUCUAACACUAGCUCAUUUACUUGUGUUAUUACAUUGGUCCCUUGACCUUGCAAACUUCAUAUAUGUUGUUUAUCUCACCUUAGUAAAAUUUGUAGUUGAAAUAUUCACCCCUCUAGGUCCGUUUCGAUCCUUUCAGGCGGGGGCGCGUGCUUGAUCUGUUCUGAUGGUCAUAAUAGCAUCAUAGGCAGGAAUCAAUGACCUAGCAUGUGAUCGCCCGCAUGUGGGGAAAACCUACACACAAGAUGAGGCUGCCGGUAACAAGCUGACAACCAAACCUGCCAGCGCUCCAGAGCACAUGCCCGACGAUGACGCUCACCCACUGCCUUCUCAACACCGUUGACGCCAUCGCUCAAAUGUGGUUGCCAACAUGAAAUCAAAACCUAACCUUACCUAAGUGACAGACAUGCAACCCCCCCCCCCCCACACACACACCACAUGAGCAUCAUACAUAGGCGAGGAUAACCACCAACCUUAUCGGUGGAACGACAUGAGGAUCUAGAGAGAGAAGGACGACAAUAAUGUUGGCCAACCUUUAAACAAGCAAAACAUCGACCAACAUUUGCAUUUUUACACCCUCCAUUCUUUUAUGUAAGGUGUAUUAUUCUUGGCACGAUGACCAAGGUACAUAAUUAUAGACAAUUUAGGAUGAAAUUACCCUUUCCAAUUCAUUUAUUACCGGCAAGUAAAUCAUUUCAGCUAGGAAAGAAACAAAUACAUGCAAUCGGGAGAGAUAUAGUUUCCUUUUUUCUCUACAAGGAGAGAUACAUGCAAUCAGGUGAGAGAUACUUUCCUUUUUUGGAGGGUCAAUAACGGAAUUACGAGGAAUUAGAACAAAUGCACCUUAUAUUGUGAAAUUUUAUCAAAAAACAAAUGCACCUAAUAUAAAGGAAUGGAGGGAGUAAUAGGGAAAGCUUGAGCACACCGAAAAUCUAAAUUAGACCGUUCCCUCCGAUUCCGUCUUGGUCCUUCGGCUCCAGUUCUGAUCGAUGAAGGUUAGUCAGCUUUGUCCUCGUCGGAGAGCGUCGGAGAGUUGUGUUUCCCGACUCCGUCUGACCAGACCUACAUUGUUAUACAAGCCCUAUAUUACAUUUUCUUCUCCUGGCCAACGAUUUGCUACGCUGAUUGUGGUCACCAGCAUCUUCAGGUCUACAUUGAUGAUUCCUCAACCAUUGCUUCCACAAGCUUCUAUGUUUAAACAAGUUUUCUCCCUUGAGACAGAGACCCAGAAACAACAACGAACUUUGCUCACGGUGCGCCACCAAUGGAUGCAAGAGGAAGAAGGCUUCGGUACCCCAAAGAUUUGAAUGUGCUUUUCAAUUUCUAUAAGGACGUUCUUAUAAAUACGUGCUACCUAAUAUGACAUCACGGGUCGUACGAGCACAAUUCUCCUCUCUCCUAAUCAUGAAGACACAAUGAUACGUUUUGUACCACUCUACCACGAAUAUGCCCCUCUGCGAUGCGGUGCCCAGGAAACGCACCGGGGGCAUCUUGGUCAAAUCCACUAGCUUCUUCUCCUCACUCCCCCUUCCCUCCGGCGGCUCCUCCCCUGCUCUGGCUCUGCUCCGCUUUAUAUAAGAAGAGCGGCCUCCUCCUCCACAAGCACACACACCAAAACAAAACUCCAGCAGCUCACACAGAGGCACAGACACAGAGAGAGAACUGCCUCGAGGUCCCGGCUUGGAUCCGGAGCCUCCCCUCUUGGCGGCGCCGGAAGGUACGCAAAAUCCCCUCCCCGUUCUUUGAUUCCGUUCAGCCUCAAUGCGAGCCGUCGAUGUAGGCAUCCUUGUUGGCUAGUUUGUGCGUCUUCUUCAGUUUUGCCAAGGGCGAAUCACUGGAGAAGCAAUUCUUUCCCGUCCAUCAGAGUUUGGGCAUAUAUGAGCCAAAUUUACGGCCUUUUAAUUGUCGGCGAGGCUGCGUUCAGCCGAGUACGGCGGUGCAUUCCUGCGGUUGGAUGGAUCUGGGUAUUUGCAAGUUGUUAUGCUCUUAGUUUUAGGAUUGGAGGAAUGGCCCGGUUCUCUGCAAAAUCAAACAUGUUUGGCCACUUUUCUUCAUGAAUUUGUUGACGGUGUUAUGUUUCUACGAUGUACCACCGAGUUGCUCCUCAACCCUGACUUUUCUGCAUACCUCUGUUUACAUUCUCAACUGGAUGCACAAGUAUGCAGCCUUGUUGAUUCUAAAGUAAAAUUAAUAAGAAUUACAGAUACGUUUUCUGCUGUUUCUAGUUUGCCGUCUGCACAGAACAAAUGUUUUUUCCUUCAUAUAAACCACCGACCACCAUGUGCCUGAUCCCGUCAGAUUUGUUUCCUCUAAAGAUUAUGCAAUAAUCAAAUUUGUUUCACCAUUCUUCUGUAUGCUCCAGUUGUUAAGCCAACCAAUAAAUGUUUUGUUAUUUCUUCAGUAAUCCAUACAAGGGUAUAUUUUGAAUUUCCAAUUGCAGAAUCUGAAGAUUUCUUUUCUUAUUUGCAGAGAACUCCAACACAGAACAAGCACUCAAAGCCUCGGGGAAUGCUGAAAGAUGUGCUUGCUUAGAAGAAAUUUCACCUGCGCAAUAAAGGAGAUUGCCUCUUCUCCACAGGAGCUGAGUUGGUCGACUCUUUAUGUGAGCAACCAUCUUGUUUGCAUCAGCUCUGCACCAUCUAGACUCCGUCGAGAGAAAGACAUGAGAGUGUUGUUCAUCGUAGUGGAUCAAGACUACCUUGGAGAGGAUGGUUGAAGUGCUGCAGUCCAUUUGAAUUAUAGCCGCAAUAUAGGCUGUGGUUUUAUGCAACUUGAAGUCAUGGCAAACAGAGGGAAGAUUCUAAUGGAGCGGUACGAGCUGGGAAGAUUGUUGGGGAAAGGAACAUUUGGCAAGGUACACUAUGCAAGGAGCCUAGAGUCGAACCGAAGCGUCGCCAUAAAGAUGCUGGACAAGGAGAAGGUGCUCAAGGUUGGGCUCUCGGAGCAAAUCAGGCGUGAGGUCACAACCAUGCGGUUGGUGGCACACAAGAACAUUGUUCAGCUUCAUGAGGUCAUGGCGACACGAAACAAAAUAUACUUUGUCAUGGAGUAUGUGAAAGGCGGUGAGCUCUUUGACAAGGUUGCAAAGAGUGGCAAGCUCACAGAGGGUGCUGCACAUAAGUAUUUCCAGCAGCUCAUCAGUGCAGUGGAUUACUGCCACAGCCAAGGCGUGUAUCACCGGGAUCUCAAGCUGGAGAACCUGCUCCUGGAUGAGAAUGAGAACCUUAAGGUCUCGGAUUUUGGAUUGAGCGCACUUUCAGAGUCAAAGAGGCAAGAUGGCUUGCUGCACACCACCUGCGGAACACCCGCAUAUGUAGCUCCGGAGGUCAUCAGCAAGACAGGUUAUGAUGGUGCGAAAUCAGAUAUCUGGUCUUGUGGUGUUAUCCUUUUUGUUCUUGUUGCUGGUUAUCUCCCUUUCCAUGGUUCCAACUUGAUGGACAUGUACCGGAAGAUUGAGCAAGGAGAUUUCAGGUGCCCCAGCUGGUUCUCACACAAACUCCAGAAGCUCUUGUUCAAGAUUCUGGACCCCAAUCCAAGCACCAGGGCAUCUAUCCAGAAGAUAAAAGAGUCUACCUGGUUCCGGAAAGGUCCAAGGGGAACCCUUGCAGUGAAGGAGAGAACUCCCAGUGAGAACGUCACCACAAAUGCUCCUCCUACAGCUGGUGUGAGGCCAAGGAAGAACACUCAUGAAGAUGUGAAGCCCCUGAUGGUGACAAACUUAAAUGCCUUUGAGAUCAUCUCCUUCUCCACGGGGUUUGACCUGUCUGGCCUAUUCAUCCGAGAGGAGUGCAGAAAGGAGACAAGGUUCACUUCAGACAAGCCUGCUUCAGCCAUCAUCUCGAAGCUGGAAUAUGUUGCGAAAGCGCUGAAUCUCAGGGUAAGGAAGAAGGACAAUGGCGUGGUGAAGAUGCAAGCGAGGAAGGAAGGAAGGAAUGGUGCUGUUCAGUUAGACAUGGAGAUCUUCGAGAUCACACCUUCCCACCACCUCAUUGAGAUGAAACAAACAAGUGGUGAUCCACUGGAGUACCGGGAGCUAUUGGAGGACAUCCGGCCAGCGCUGAAGGACAUAGUCUGGGCCUGGCACGGAGAUGACCACCACCAGCAGCUAGAGUAGGUUUUGGAAUCUUGAGUAUUUAGUUUUGGUUCUGCGAAUUCGUCCAGUUUUCAGCUGGAACGAUCCUAUUUUACAUGCGUGUGUUCUUUGUACAAAAUAUAUUUUUUCCUACAUGAGGUGAGGCAUUCUGUUCGAGGCAUUGUUGAGAAGUUGAAAUGCAUAAUAAAGGUUGUUCCUGUUUAGUUGCUGUCAACUUGUCACUGUCCUGUCAUAAUGCUCAUUUUGGGUGAAAUUAAAUGCUAUGCCAAGCAUUUACAGUAGAAAGCUCCCACUACACCUCCAUAAACACAUUUCUCAAAACAUACGACGUAUUAGCCAGCACUUGAACAUUUUGUGAUUUGCCAUCUCUGGAAGAAACCUACAACUGUUCAGUUUUUUUCAUGAUGUGAGUUGUAAUUUGGGUAAGAUAAUCUUCAGAAAGUCCUCUGGAGAGAUGGCUCUCCCAUCAUCUAGUUUAAUGUUUAUUACUUAUCGGGAGCUGAAUAUGUCCCAUGGAAAUUUCUUUCCAGAUUUUGGAAGAAUUUUCAUAUUAACAGAGGUUGCUCAGCGGUCAUACUCAAUAACCAAUGCACAGACUAAGGAAGUAGAAAAUCAACAAGUGGUGCCUAUUCAGUCUGAUCCGAAAAGUAGAAAAUCAACAAGUGGUGCCAACAAUUUGCAGAGAGCUGCAGCUUCACCGAGAAAGCGAAAUAAUAGAAUUUUACUAAAGAGGGGUAUCCUCUUAUUAAACAACAGAAAGUGAAGUUAUCGGUAAAGAAAAUAAAUACCGAGCGUAUAAAUUCACUUGCUGGCAGGUUCGAUCUAGAAAAUAUCUGAACUCCACUGUGAGUAAAUUAAAGAAAUUGUCACUAUCACAGGGGAUAGGUCCAACAUCCAAGUGUUUCUUUUCACUUUCCUAAUCAACCAUCCAAAAAAUUCAACAGUAAAAUUACUGAUUUGAUUGAGCUAACCAAUCAUAGAUUUCUCAAAGUCGUUGAAGGAUAAACUCUUUAUGUCCUAGGUAUCCAACAUAUAUGCUUCUGUCCUUGAUGCCUGAUGCCCUGAUCCAUGAUUGAUGCCUGCUGCGAUGCAUUGCCGCAGAUCCGAAAGAAAAUCUUGCUACGGAUUGAAAUUGUAAUCUGACGACAUGGAUAUUUACUUUAUGAAAAUCUUGCUAUUACAACUUGCUAAUUUGAAGAUUUACAUAUUUGUAUCGGUUUUGUUAGUUGGAACUUUGUAGGAUAUUUGGUAAAUCGAUGGCAGGUUAAUUUGCAAUAAUUGAACUUUAUCUCUGUAUGAGUAUAUUUGUACCUACCAAAUACAAUGCUUAGACUGAUUUCAUUUUUAUGAGCAGAUAAACAAGAAAAACAGAAUAGUUCAUUUUCUACGGACACGAUGUACGCGAAUGCGGAUAAAUAGUUUGCAUGGCUGACAUGCUAUAACUUUAUUUUUGCUUUAGUUGAUUAUUUAUUUAUUUUUUUGCUAUGCACCUGAAGAUGUAUAAUCUGGUGUGAUGCUUGAUUGAAGAUUAGUCAGCAACGUGAUGAUAGUGAGAUAUCUUAUGAUGACGACAGGUUGGUUUGGAACAUCUCUACCGGUAAGGAUUUUUCAGUACAUUCAUUAUCUUGGAAGAUACUGAGAAAUCUCAUGAUGGUGUAAGGUUUCGGCGAAGUUCUAGAUGGAAGUUUAGGUGUUAUCAUCUCACGAAAGAUAUAGGCCUCCUUUGAUUUGGAGGAAUUUCAUAGGAAUUUUAGAGGAUAGGAAUUUUAUAGGAUUUUUUCCUUUAGAGCCCUUUGGUUCAUAGGAAUAGAUUCCUAUUCCUACAUAGGAUUGGUUCCUAUCCUCCACAUUUUACAGAAAAAUAAAAAUGAGCCUAGACUCAAUGAAAAAAUUCCUUUGGUGUCAACCAAAUGACAUCUCGUUUCCUAUUCCUACUCAUAGGAUUUGAGAUACAUGCCAUCUCAUUUCCUACAAAAUUCCUAUUCCUAUGAUAAUUCUAUCCUAUGAACCAAAAGAGUAAUCUUUUAAGAAAGAAGUGUUCUCUUUGUCGCAACCCCGAGAGCAUUAAGCAUCAAUGUUUUAGAUGCCCAGUUGAUGCUGAUUAACUGUGCUUGACGCCACAUUGGUUCCCCUGUCCCUGAAACAUAUGCUUGAUCAAAUUUGUAGGGAACAGGUGAAUUGGAAACAAGGCGCUGCUACUCGUGAGUCCUGAGCUAUCAAGGCCUGUCUCUGAAGGAAGAAUGAAGUUCAGAGACAGGGAAGGAUAGGGCACAGAGGAUGUAUACUGUUUUCUGUACAUUCUUCAGCAGGUGUAAUCCAACAUGUCAGAGAUAAGACUUCAAAGUAAUAUCAAAGCUCAGCUCAUAAGCGUUGGAACAAGUAGCAUUACAGGUACACAGCAUGCAACAUGGUGGUACAAAAUAGUACGGAGUAAGUUUUUUUUAGAAUUAUAGAAAAUAGUAACUGGUAGGGAACAAACUGCAAAUACACCGUAAAGAUAAUUAAUAUAUUUAUUACUAUGGAAAGACUAUCCUUUUAUUAAACCGCUGAAAGCAGAGUUCUCGAUUAACCCGAGCACUUGCAGACAAGUUUGAUCCAGAGUAUCUAAACUCCACUUGUCAGAGUUUUUUUUAAAGAAAUCGUCCCUAUCACUGCAGAGGAUAGAUCCAACACCCUUACACCCAACCCUUCACUUUCCUAACAAGCCGUCCAAACAAUUUGAGAGGUUAAAUAACAAUAAUUUGGUUCAGCAAACAAAUCACAGCUAUGCCAAGUUGUUAGUAAAAGAUACCACUAUAUAAACUCUUGAUGUCCCAGGUUUCCAACAUAGAUGCUUUGUCCUUAAUACCUGCCUGAUGCCUUCAACCAUAUGAUAGAUAGAUGCCUGAUGCGACGAAUCGCCGCAAACCAAAAGAAAUUAAAUGAAUUAAUUUUGUCAUCUGACGACAGGUAGAUGUGUACCUUUAUGGCUACGCUCGCCUUUUCUGGAAACAUGAUAACCACGCAAGUGGUUAGUUGGUGCAUAGACGGUUUUCCGCUGUCGGUCCUUUUAGAUUUACCUAUUUUCCCCUUCUUUUACUAGUAAGCAUGCACGUGCAACGCACGUCUCUACAGUGGCAUCUCGGGCGACUACUCCAGCGAUACUGGUUGAGUGUGCAAGGUUUGUUUGAGCAAUAGAUGUUGGGGGCGGCGGCCCUGAGAGCUCGUGUCUUGUGGGUUGAAACUAUUGCAGGCAUAUGAAAUGCUUGCUUGCAGCUUCAAUGACAUGUACCUCAUGUCUUGUGGGCUAUUGCAGGCAAUGUGGAAUGCUUGUUUGCAUGUUAAAUGCUUGCUUGCAGCUUCAAUGACAUGGACCUCAUGUCUUGUGGGUUGAAACUAUUGCAGGCAUGUAGAAUGCUUGUCUCUUCUCAACCGCGAAAGAGUGCCUCAUGACUUCCUUUCUUGCAGUGAUGAAAGAGCGGAUUGUUCAGCAGAGCGAGUCCCCUAGCUAGUGUGUGUUUGGUUGUUCAGCAGAGCAAGUCCCCUAAAAAACCUAGUGUGUGUCUGGUUGACUUUUUUUGUCCCCUAAAAAAACUAUUUGUGUCAAUGGAACUAAUCAUCAAGAAAUGACAUGAAAAGAAAUUGAAUGUUCAUCCCAAACAAUUAAUAACCUCGAAUGCAAUGCACAAUGCACGGUUCAACUAAAACAAGGCCAAAAGAUAAUUAUUAUUAGCUCAUUAAAAGUGGACAUCAAGGAAACAUUCUUUUGAUCUCAUGUCUUUGAAUGACAAUUAACCAGAUCAUCCAAUGACCAUAUAAUUUUCAUAUUUGUCUAUUUUUUGGGCAGAUCACAUUAUAUCAAAAUAUAAAAAUAUAUCAAAACUUCAGGCAAAAUUAUCUUGAACAACUAUCCAACUGCACCACUCUGCACAUCAGAAAAAGAAAACACCACAUACUCACUGCAUUCCUAAAUGUAGAGUAGUAUUAAGGAGUAAGCUUAUCCGGACAGCAAGUAGUUGUGCCCACUGUAUAAGGAUAAUCAUAAUGCACACACCACAACAGGGAUUUAUUUCUUUGAAAUCUGCAUACAAAGUUACAGAACAAGCUCUUGAAUGGUUGUGACUAAAUUUCUCAAAAGAUGUCAACAAAAGUAAGAUAAUAUAUAUUACAGUAUAAGACUAUUAUACAUGCUAACUAUGCACUGUUGUUAAAUAAACAGUAUACUUGUGACUAUUCUAUAUCAUCAACAUGCUUCUACCCGACUCUCCGUUGAUCGCCUAGCUACAUGGAUGCAUUCACAAAGAUAUAAGCCCUCUCCUUAGCUUUUAGCAUACCUCUAUUCACAAAGAUUAUGUGCUACAUAUAAGUAUCGUGACGCUAAUGGUCGAACAUGCAAAUUAAACUUACACGUGGAAAAUAUGCAACCCACAAUUGCGAUAUCUUAACAUAUCACAUUACAAACAUAUAAACAACGGUCUAAGAAAUACGUGUAACUACACUAACAUUUGGGAUAUUUGAGAUACUUGUCAUGAAUAGUUUCUCCCAUCAACAUAUCAUUGCAACUUAGCGCAAUUCAUUUUCUUUUCUCCGGAAAAAGGUCAAUCUUAUUUCUUCUGGCCUGUCUGCUCUAUGGAUCUUGGUGUUGUAGGCAGAUGGACACAUCUCAGUUCAGAGCAUGUUUGUAAGCAAAAAAUUAUACCUAAUGAUAUAAUUUACAUAAACCUAAUGCUCAGGCAUAUUAUCAAUUGAUGGCGAAUGUGCAUUACAAGUUGAAGUUUCUUGUUCCAACGGAUCCCAGUUAUUGGUUUUUGUCAUCCAACAGUUUAAUGUCAUAUCAACCAAGGUUUGUGCUCUACUUAUGGAGGUAGCCAGUAGAAACUAUUUGUGCAUACAAGUGUUUUCCAAGCUAUAACAUUUUAAUUUAUGUUCCAUUUUCAUCCAUCUACACAUUUUAAUUUCUGUGUGCAGAAAGAAAUACCUUGAUCACAAUGCUCGGCGUAGAAAAAGUCAUCAUCAUGUAGGUUGACAUUGACAUACUGUUCAUCCAAAUACUUCAGGCGCUGGACAAGCAUAUUGAACCAAGAUCUUCACUUGAUACCGGAGCAGCAAGCAUAUCUAAGAGAACAGCACAGCAUAAUAUAAGUCAUUAAAAUAUGGCCAAAAGGUAACUCAUGUGAGUCUAACCUCUUUAGCUAACAAAAGCUAUUGUUCUACAGGGAAGAAAAUAAGUCUACAUAUAUGUGAGUCUCACCUCUUUACCUAAGAUUUCAUUGUUUUUUAUCAUGUUAUGCCAUAUAUCUUACAACCCCUUUGUUCU